UUUUUUUUUUUUUUUUUUUUUUGUCAAGACCUAUUUUCUUGCUUCCCAUUUGAUGACCUAUUAAUGCACAAGACAAGAGUUUUGAUUGUUUGAUAAUAUCACCUUGGACUUUAAAAACGAGCUUAGAAGCAAUCAAUUUUAUGGUUGUUUGAGCGUAUUUAGAUGCAGCACUUUUCAGUAAAUAUGUAUGUGAAAUUUAUAAAAAGAAAAAAAAAUGUGGAGGAUCUUAGUUAGAAUAUUAAGAAACAAGUUUCAGAAAAGAGUCACCUUCCAAUAUAACAUUUACGUCCAGCAUCAAAAGGAUUUGGCACAUUAAACUUGAUGCAGUCCCGUUUGGAUUACUAUUUCCCGAAAUUUUUGUAAAUAAAUAUACUAUAACAAUUUAAUGCAUGUGAAAUAAUUAAAAAGUGUACUCACGAAAGACGUAAAAAUUUUUUGACACAAAACUAUAAUCCGAACACCAAAUUUCUUGAGUUAAAAAAAAAAAAAAAUGCUGUAAAUUGGAUAGCCAUAACUGAUUAUGCAACUGAAAAUUUGGAUUAGAAUGCAAGUAAAUUUGUGAUUGACUUUGGUACAAGCCACUAUUAAAUGGCGGCAUCCUUCCCAGAUUGCGGUCCGUGACCAUCUCAUACACGUACUGGUUAAAUUAUGGUUAGAAUUGCCUCAGCACAAUAGCAAAUUACACUACACCAACUGCAUUCUGAAUCAUGACUCGGAAAGCAACAUGUAUUCAAUGUAUUGGGUUUCAUCACCGUCCCAUCAAGAUGAUCAAAUAAUUUUGGGCUAUAUUUGGUAACACAUGCUCCAAAAUUAUAUAUACAAAAAGGAAAAAAGGUUUUAUUUCAUACUUUGAUGCAUGUACAUUUGUUGUGCUAUUGCAUGCACGCAAUGCGUUGCGUUGACAUCCCACCAAACAUGAAAAAUUUUAUCCUAAGUAACAUACGAGCGACAUCGAAACAAAUAAUUAAAGAAUAACUCACUUUCUUGAUGUUAGAAAUUUUCAUAUUGAUACCUAUCGCAUAGAAAUGCUGUGAUCGACAGAAAUAAAUUAAAGAAUGACCGUCUCCUUGAUUUUAGAAAUUCCCGUGUUUAUACCUUUGAUAUAGAAAUGCCGUGAUUAGUUGCUUUUUAUAAGUGAAUUCAUCAAACAGGGGCAGAAACCAUAUACUGCUCGAGAAACACUUCUCCAUUCUUGUUUGGUGGAUUGUACAGCAAACAGGAAAAAACUUUCGAGCAUUCCAAAUUACAAUUUCAUGGAUUAAACAUAUUUUAUUCUCGUCUUGAAAAAUGAAAAAACUGCGGGCCAUUUCCCAUUGAAACUGAUACCAGGCACACGCAACUCCCUCUUGUUGCAUGGUAUGACUACUGGAGGACCAGAGGAAGUGCUGAGCAUGAAUGCAAAUCUAGACUUCAAUCGCUCUGAUGUGUUAGACAUCUGAACUGUAGAGGAGGAGAAGCCUUGCUUUCCAUUGAGAGCUCGUGCAAAACCUGAUCUUCCUUCGUUGUCCAACAUCCUCACUAUUGCCUUUCCAGGCCCCGUCUGCGACAGAAGUUAAUAUAAUGACUUCAUUGGAUGACAGGAACUCAGAAAAGAAGAAAGAGAACAUGUGUAAAAAGAACCAGGAUAAGUUCUCCACAAGCAGAUCCAAAUUUGCUACCACAUGCAAGUAAAAAGUACAAGAUGGACAACAAUGCAUUAACAAUUUUGUGAAGCAAAUUGCCAUGGCUGUGUCUAACUUGAUUAUCUUUCUUUAAUCCUUGAAACUGAAUUGAUUGAUUCUUGUCAACGUCGUCUUUUUCCCACCUGUGGGCGCUGAUCAGCCCAUAGUCAGGGUGUUGGACAAUGUCAAUGGACACGCGACUGGUUUUACUCCAUGGAAGACAAGGCUUCUCCCCUGCUGCGCAAGCUUUUCAUACAUCCGGCAUGUAUGCCAUAUCAAUGGCUGCUGAAUCAAUGAAACCAAGCCAAAAGAGGGAACUGCAGGUACCAAGUUUCAGUUUCAGUAAGAAGUCGCCCGUCUUGGUUUCAUUUAUCGGGAGAGGCUUAUCUGCUUAUUCAGGGAAUCAUGGCUUUUUGUCCUAUAAUUUACGAGCGUGCUUCUGACUACAUGUUUGGCUUAGUAGCAUACUUGUGCUUCUUUAUUCCUUCAGCUAACAAGAACAGAAAAGCUGUAAAAUCAUGAGUUUCUAUUUACUGAAAAUCACCCGUAUCAUUUCUACUUAAGUUCUUUUAUUUUUGCUCAAAUUUUACUGUUCUUAUCAGCUGCUUUGCGUCUUUAUGUAUUAGAUCAUGUCCUUGAAUUUAGAUUUCCUUCUUCUUUUUGCCUUCCGUAUCUUCAAUCAGGUAGAAAUUUUGACUCGUCAAACUAGAACGUUGGGCAUUUGCUCACUCUUUGUAGCGUCCGUUUUGCAGUGUGGCUGUGCCUUGGCGGUUGCAUAAAGAGCACCUAUCUUGUUCAGAUAGUGAAUUCAUCUUGGCAAAGGUACGGGAAGUACCAACUGGGGUUGGGCCAAGUGGUAAGCAGCUUGGUUCCGCUUAAGCAGGUCUCGGGUUCGAAACCUGGCGUAUGCAGCUACCCUUGUUGGGAGACUCACCCACCAUAGCCAGGUGUGCGACCCGGAUCGACCAACGAAUUAGUCAAGGCAAAGCCCUGGAUACCGUGGCAGGCAACCAAAAAAAAAAAAAAAAAGGUACGGGAAGUCAAUCAAAUACAUUUGCCAUUUUGUGUUUCCUGAUCAAAUUGGACUUGUAAACACACUUUUUUGUAGCUUUUUUCAACAAAAGCAUCAAAGUAGUGGCAAUUGCCCUCAUAUAUCUACCUGUGCAGUUUCCUUGAGCUACAGGGGGAAGACCACAACUCACUCUACAUAUUCUAACUAGUUUCACCACAAACUUGGCCAAGCUGUGGCAAACUGGAUUUCCAAAAGGAAAAGUGCUUUCUUUACAUGUACAUUAAGACUAAAGUAAAAAGUAAAAGAUGCAAAGCUGAUGAUUUCAAAAGAUCACAAUGAAAAAACUAUUCAGCCAACUUGUAACAAUGCAAUAAAGAAAAAAGAAAAGGUUUAAUGUCACACGAGUCUAUCUAAAUGGAGUGCAACAUGUGCAGUUAGCUAACAAUACUUCAGAUUCCAGUCGGUGUAAUUGAAAACAUGCACAGUAGUAUACAAAUUAGGCAAACACUUGGGUAGACCCAAUCUAUGUGAACCUAGUGGCUCAAAAUUUGCUCCUCACCAAUUCAAGUAUUGAAGACGUGGCAAAAUUUGAGCCACUAGGUCUACAAGACCAGGUCUACCCAAGUUUUUGCCUACAAAAGCUAAGAACCUGCAACAAUCAAACGGUUUGUUUGGACAGUGACCAUCCAAUGUCAUACAUCCAAAGCAAACAAAGGCAUAUUGUGCACAAUGCAGGUUUUCCAAUACCGUUAUUUUAAUUACUAAGCAAAAGCUCUGUUGGUAGAUACAUCAGGCAUGCAUGAUGCUUACCACUGUGUUAUAUAGGCAGUGUGGCUGUAUGAAUUUCGGCAAGUUGCCCAAUGGUUCUUCAACUCCCAAAUCUCAACGAAGGGUAGAUUUACAUUAUAAGGCAACGAUUUUUUUUUUUUGGGUUGGGGGGGGGGGGGUGGUGUGUGUGUGUGAGAGAGAGAGAGAGAGAGAUGAGCAAAGGAUCAUGCUUAACUCUAAAUAAUGAAUUUGCAACUAUUGAAUUAAUCUAUGAGAUGCCUGCUGCCCACCAUUCUGAUGAUCUGGAAACGGAAAUCAGAAGAUAAAUUUUGUCGCAUGAGGCAAGAAAUAUUGAGACACGUCAAUACUAACAGUUGAAAGGUCCAAGAAAGUGAGAAGAAAUUGAAAAAUAAAUGUGUGACUGUGAACUAACAAUUGGGUUUUCCAUCUGAGUCAACUUGCCAUUGUACUUGUGUAAUACUAGAACGCAAAGGAACUCACAGAUCUAAUAUUCUGAAAUGAGAAUUUAGAUGGUCAUGCAGAUAUUCCUCAAGUUCCACCAGCUAACUACUAGUGAUAAGCCAAAAGUAAUUGCCACAUAUUUACAAGCUACGUACUCCUGACUUUUGCAAACCUGCAGAUAGACUAAAUCCCUAAGUUGUGUAGCGCAUCCUUGAUUCAUCCUACCGACCAAAAAUCUUCGAACUUUACACCUGAAAUGACAUAUUCAGAAGAGAUGAGUUGACAUCAAGCGAAACAAUGUGACAUAUGCUAAUAAGCAAGUUUAUAUCCUCCCUGUACAUCAUGUUUGGUGACAAACAACUCAAUGCAAUGACAGCAAUUUUCAAACAACAAUCUGCAUCCAGCAAUAAAUAACAGUAACAGUACGUAUUACAACUGAGACAAAGUAAGUUCAACAAAAGAGUAUCCAGUGAAAGAAGUACAGUGGCAGCAUAAUCCAUGAUAUGGGAAAACUAUUUUGCCAUUGCCAUGCCAAAUGUGGCAGCGACAAUCUUUUCUUAGUUCCAAUCCCUUGUAUGAGAAAAGGUAAAAUCCAGAACACCAAAAUAUCAAUAGCAGCUCCAGAUACAAGCAUUCGAAGUAAAAACGAAGAUUCUUCAAAUAUUUCAAAUCCUUCGGUUCUUAACACUUUCCGUUGCCUCUUCUUCCUUUGCUUAUUGUUUUCAGCAACCAAUACCUUUAGGUGCAGCAACCAGAACCAGUAGCUUUUUUACCAACCAAAACUACAGCCUAAUUUCUUUUGAUGAGUAGGUAUCAGUUUUGAGAUCCAAAAUUGCACAGAAAUGACUGAAAGACGCCAAAAUUGGCAUGCAUAUGAAAAAAAAAAAAUUUACCUCAACAAAGUUCAGCAAACACUGGAACUUGUUUCACAAAACUAAAUAUAGUUAGCAACAAAGCAGGAAGCUAUUUGGGCAUAUACCUGGAAUGCAAGUGCCAAAUUGAAAUUGAGAUAUAAAUGAGUUUCCUGGAUUCCUAGGAAAACCUAGAAACUAUUAGACCUGUAAAAGCUCGGCACCACCAUAUCCCUACCAGCUACAAUGACCAGUGACCAAAUCCUUGUCACCCUGCCUAGUUUCUUUACAAACUCUACAGAGAAUUUAUCAUUUCAAUCCUUAGAACUUCCUCUGAUGACAACACUACUAAUUAAGGGAGAUCAAACAAUAUCCAGAAGGUCUCAAGGUGUUAGACUCUAUUCAUGGCACACAAUGUCAUCGUUAUUUUUGUCCCAUGCACGGAAUUUGACAACACUGCUCUUAAAAAACUUAUGGACCAACCAACUGCUGAAUUAACUUCAGAAGCUUCAAACAUUCUGAAUUUGAUGUAAAAAUAGCUUCUAGAUUACACAUAUCUGCCCCAAAAAUUUGCAACUAGGUACCCUAAUUAAAAUGAAACAAUGCCCUACAUGUGAAACAAGUCCUAGCUGGACAUCACACGACUUGCAUGAUAACUACAAGCAACAAUUUCUAGACAAUAGUAUAUCGGGGAAGAAGCGAGAAUAUAUAAACAGGCUACUAGCUGCACAAAGCCAAGAUGCAAUGAACAGGAGAAUCCAACAUUCAUGCAUGCUAAAGCUCUGCCAUAAGCACUAAGAUUAAAAAAGAAAAGCCCAAGAUUCGAACUUACCAACUUAAGAGCAGGGAGAAUCAUAAGCAUUUAAGCCCCCUCUUGACUAAUAAUACAAAGGCGGACAACCAUUUUGUUGAAACUUUCUGCAUGUUCUGUUCUGCUUGGGCAAUUUUGUGCUGCCUCACCUCCCACGGUUUGGCUAAACCAAAUGACAAGCUGGCCUUUGUUGAGCAUGUGUGAAAGUGCUGAAUGUUUGAGGAGAAAGCAGAGGGACGCCAACGGUUUUGAGCAAAAAUAAACCUUUGCAGGUGAUUGUUCAACCCAAGCAUUGACUUUCACCCAAACAAACGAAUUUAUGGGUCAGGGUUUUUUUAUUUUUGGAUGGGGGGAGACACAGCAGAUUUUAUCAGUCAGUCCCACGCAACUAUGAAAUUAAAUUUGAAAACAAGCAAAAUAAUUCUAAACGUUCAAUCAAUAACAUAUGUAGAAGAAAAGGACAAUAGCAUAAAAAGGCCAUGAAACACAAAAUAAAGAAACUGUCCCUAAGGGUUUGCAAUAAAUCACGGGAUGCGUAUGACUUGAACACCUAUCUACUUCAGUUCAAUAUAAUAACUUCCACACAUGGUAAGAUAAGCACUUCAAAUGGUAAAAUAUGGUUAUCUGACGCACGGAAAAUUCUCAAGUUUACUCUUACAUAGGUAUCAGGAGAACCACCUAGUUGUGAAUAAGGUGGCAUGGUGCAAUUUAUUUUAGAAACACCCUCUGUUCUCUCUACUGCAUCAAAGAAAAGCAUAACCAGCCAGAACAAUUUCUCAAUUACUUUUAGUUUAAUGAAAUGGAAACUAAGCACCAAAGCAUUUAAGAACUAAGCACCAUGGUUAUCCUUUGAAACUUGAACAGGAUGGUCUUGUUGAUCCAAGAGCACCUUGUCUGAUGCACUGCAAAUACAAAAGCCACAACAAAAGAUCAAAAGUUAGGCAUGAUAUAGCAUCACUUUCAUACUGCUCUGCUUAAUUUGUACAGCAAGCUUUAGUAAAAUUUCUUGACCUAUUCCAGGAAGGACAUUUCCCUGAUUUAGGAAGGCUAAAAAGGACUGAUACAGAUCCAAUCUAUCUUGUUUGUCUCGAUAUAAGUAAAUCAUUUGAAUUUCUAUACAUUUUAGUUGAAUACUCCUCUAUUAAUCCUGAACCACGAAAUUCUUGCAUAGAUGAUGCAUUUAUGCAUAUAAUCAUAAUGCCCAUAGUUGAAGAAUCUCUAACCUGUGUGCUGUACUGCUAAGGUUGAUGUCUUCAGACUUCAACUUGUAACCUGCAUCAGCAAACAGCCUCUCCAUGUCUUGGACUACUUGUUCCUCAACCACCUGAGAGAAUACUCCACAGGUUAGUGUUCCACAAUUCAGUAUAAGAAUUUUCACAGAGAAAAGCAACAAAAAGUGACUUCUCUGCUGAUAAAUGACAAUUACAAGGAAUGAAUGGAGCACAUUUCACAUGGUGCAUCCGGCUGUAACUCCCCAAGUUACCAGAACUUCAAAAUUGCCAGAAUGCAUCUAUUAUAGACUAAAAUCUGACUUUUGACAGUGAUCAUAUCACAACAACAAACUAUAGCAACUUACGCCAUCAGGCCUUGAUUGAAGGUACACCUCAAUAGCAGCACCUGCCCCUCUCAAACACAUCAAGCAAUGGUAGUGUAGGUAGCAUUGCCUGCUCCCUUUCCUCACACAAGUCGUCUAAUCUUACCAACUCUGGAUCUUUUCGGCCCAUUAAACAGAAUCCUAAAUCGAGCAACCCUGCCAAUUCUCUCCUGACAAAUUGACGAAAGGUGAUUGCAGUUUCUGAGCUUGAAUGAUUUUCAAACCCAUAAGCACAUACAGGACCCAAAGACUUCUCUCUUGCCACCAUCAAUAGAAUGGCCAGUUCGAUAAUUUUACCCUUCAUUGCAAAAUAGCAAGCAGCUUCACUGAUAUCUUUUUGGUUCAACUCAAGCAAGCGAGCAGUUUCCAGCACUUGUUUCUGUCAUGAAGGCAAUUUACCUCACAUAAAUACCUAGCACAAGAAUACACUAGCAAUUUAUCCAAGAACAGCCAAAAACGAACCAUUUCAGGGAGGCAAAGCAUGAUAAUCAACUUGAAUAUAGAUUGCUGUGGGGUCCACUGUCGCAAUCUUUUAUAUGUACUACACAGAAACAAAAAGAAAAACUCAAAUGUAAACAAUGGAAGAAGAAGAAACAAGAACACGAAAAGACAAAAUGGUGACAUGACAAAACAUUAAGGGUCUCUAAGCUAGCAACAUUGAAGACCCAGGGAGAAACAAUAUCACCGCGCACCUUAGUUUUUCAAGUGCUGUAAUUAGAGGUGUCAUCUUUAGGAGCUCCAAGUCAAAUGUAUUCCCUCUGAAGUCAGUCUGCAUGUCAUAUACAAGACAUCAAUUAAACAAUGAAGGAGGAAGCUCCUUCAAGACCAGGCAAGCCAAAAAAGGUUUGCGAUAUCUGCUACAAAACUACUUCAAAAAUCUUUAGAAAUGUCAGUUUCUUCUUAAAUACUUAGAUGAGAAAGCAAUAAAGGACUGCAUCCUGAUCAAGGUGACAGUCUCUACUCACACAUUCAUUAUGACUAAUAAAACACACCAGGAGCUCCUUUCCUUCUUUUUCCAUGGACAAGGACAGCAUAGUUGUCAAUAACCUUCUCCAAUGGCUAAAAGUGCAUGAAGCACAUAUUUAAGCUACAAGUGAAGCGAAGUGCAAGUCUAGUGCUUUUUCUUGUCUGAAGUGGGUCCAGGGCAAAUACAAGGCAUGGUUCCUCAAGUUCUUCCUUUUAUUUGGUUUUGCAUUUUUUACAAAAAUAUUGGAUCUCUUCUUCUCUUGUCUAAACCCUUGAUAAAAGAGUAGGUUAACAUAUGUGUGAUUGCAUAAUUAUAGGAUUCACAGAUGAAAAAAUUACUAUAUACAUAAGAGCACUGACUUUCAAUAAAGCAUAAUUUAGCAUUGUGCUUAAGCACCGGAAUGAAUUGUUCAAAGAUGUACCAGGAAGGACCCUGACAGUUCUACUUAGCUGAUUGCUUUAACCAAAGAUCCCCUACUUCCAUUUGUCUCAUAUUUGACAACAUAACAUAUUGCUCUCAAAAAGAUUAAAGAAUAAUGAACAAUUUUAUGUCUAGGAAAUUAUUUACCUUGAGACUCAAAGUGCCACUGCAGGAAAAGAAACAUUUUAAAAAUUUCUAAAUGACAGUUCCAAAUGUUGCUACUAGCAGGCCCUAAAUUUUGGUAGAAUUAACAAGAAUUUUAUAUUUUCUGACAGAAGUACCUACAUACCAUCAAUAUCAAUGAAGUUAUUGCUUAUAACAUGAAAAACAUAGUGAUCUACAAUGACAGUUCUCUUUCCCUUUACUUAAUGAGAUUGCAAUCUAGACGCCUUUAAGCUUCUCCAAUUACUUCUUUCUUGAAGAAGCAUGAAUAAGUAUUUGGAUCAUGGCCAUGACUGAGUCACUUACAAGAUAUGACACCGAUAAACUUAACUAUUAUGCUGAUGAGGAAGAAAAUAAAGAGGCAAGGACAACAAGAUCUAAACUUUCCAACUUCAAACUUCUCUUACAUCAGUGCGAGUAGAGGUGUCCUCCUUUGGGAACAAUGGAUUAAGAGGAGUCUCUCCUCUGGAUUCAAUUCCUGAAAUGAAUUAAGGAUCAAUUAGCAAUCACACAAGUCAACAACAUCUCUGUGGAUUAGAGUCCCUUCAUAAUCUUUUUUAAACAAAAAUAGACCAGGAUGAUGUGUCUGAAUAAGCAAAUAAAUACAUUACCCAGGUUGUCCUUUUUUUCUUCAAUCGAUUCAGUUUGUUCUUCCAAGAUAGCAUCCUUAGCACUAUACCAAAUAGAGAUUCCACAUGUCAAUAGUGAUGAGCAUUGAAUUGCUUUAAUCUCUUCCCUUCCCCCACCCCUUGAAAAAAGGAGGAAACAAAAGAAAAGAAUCCAAGGUGCUAGCUGGUCAGUAGUAAAACGAGCACUCCUUGGAAUUAUUCCUUUGUCCUUGACUACACCUUCUAAAUUUUACUAUUUGAUUUGUAUAAUUCUAAUUUCAUCUAUUAGGCAGUUCUGUUGCACAUGUAUACAUUUGAUAAAAUAAGACACAUGAGUGCAGGAAUGACAAACCUUUUCAUAGUGACUAAUCUAUUUCCUUGAGAGUUUGGUCUGAAACCUGCUUCUCUAAAUAGCCUUGUAACAUCUUCGGCAACCUGUUCAUCUUGGAUCUGCAAGAAAACUACAAGUUUGGUGUUGCAGAUUCAAGUUGGUAUAAUAGUUAACAGAAAAUGUUAUGUAUAAGCAUGUCCACCAGGCAAUAAACAAAACUGCAACUCAAAAGAAGAAAGCUCACAUCCACAACAAUGUGCUAUCAUGGCCCUGUUAACAUGUUAAUCCCUGAAUGAACCAAUUAAUACAAAGCAUCCCACCAUAACAAACUUAACCUCAAUUCCCAGUUCGGUAAAAAAAGAAUGCGCAACAAAAUUCAUCACAACUUACAUUUACGUCCCUCGAUUGAACAUAUUUUCCAAUAGCAUCACCGGCCUUUUCAAACACUUCAAGCAAAGGUAGAGUAGAUAGCAUCGCUGACUUCCUUUCCUUGGACAACUCAUACAACUUUUUCUCUUCCUCUCCUUUUCUGUACAUUAAGUAGUGUUCUAGAUCCAAUAAUGCAGCCAUUUCGCUUCUGAUAAAAUGGCGUAAUGGAACUUGUACUUUUGAACCAUCCACACAUAGACAUGAGACGGGGCCCAUAACCUUUUCCCAAUUGGCCAUCAAUAGGAUGGCCAGUUCAAUAAGUGCACCCUUCAGGACAUAAUAGCAGACAAUCUCAUCAAGCAAUUCUGUGUGAGCCACAAGCAGCCUGACAGUCUCAAGUUGAUCUUGCUGUAACAAGGCAUUAUUGCGUAUGCAUUAGUCACACUUCAAACAUGAGAAACACAUUUCAACAAUCUACAGAUACAAAUUAGACAAAGCUACUGCAAAGAACCAAACCAAUCUGGGGAAGCAAAGCAUGAUGAUCAGGUCGAAGACUGAUUCUUUUGUAUUUGGCUUCCAUUCCGUCAGAGUGUUGUCACAACUAGAGAAAUCCCACAGAAGGGCAAGUCAAACAUUAGUAAACAGAACAAGAACCAAGAGAUAGAGAGGAAUAUGCUUUCAACGAAGUUGUGCAGGCUCAAGAAGCAGAUGAUGAAAUGUAAAUGGUACCUUAACGUUUCAAGUGCUAUCUGGACAGGAAGCAGUUCCCUUUUAUCCGAAUCAAUAGCAUGAAGUCUACGAUUAGCUUCAGCUCCAUGCCGAAGAAACAACUUAACUAAGGAAGAAGACAAUGAGCAGGCAGCUUCAUGAAGAGGGAAAAUACCAUCCCUUUUUGCAACAUUAAGGUCAAUGACCAAACCAUCAUUUCUUUCCAGCAAUAAUGCACCACACCGUGCAGCACGAUGAUAACAAAUCCAGUGCAACAGCUCAAAUGGGCAGAAUUCAGAUUCACCAAACUGUAGUUUCACAAUGUAUCCAAAAUAUUGAACUAUGACUGCACCCUCUAAAGCAGAUUGAAAUUCAUCUCCAUCAUCGCGUGCAAUUAUUUCGUAAAUGCGCUGAUCUUCGUCUGAAAAAGCGUUUUGCUGCACUUCCUACCAUUGUUUCAGAAAGAAAAUAAAAAUUUAAACUUGAUAGUUGUCGUGAUAAAAUCUCUCCAAGAUAACAAAGAAACCACUCUAUCAUACAAAAUUCCACGAGGACAGUGGAAAAACAAAGAAUCUGCAUAUGCAUACCUUUUCCAUUCUCGUUUCAGACAGAAUCUCUGUGCAGCAGAUAUAAACCCUGUGGAGUUUGAAAAUCAAAUAACUUGCUUAACAACAAAUUAAACCACUCCUACUAAAUGCAUGGUUCAAAGCACGAAAAAUACACCUAAAAAACAAUAAAAAUGUAAUCUCCAUACCAAUCUUUAGCCAAAUUUGUCUCCUCAAAAGCCCUUAAAAGAACAGCGAGCUGGUGGACAAGAAGAGAAGGGGACUGACGCUUGCACGAGCAAGAAGAAGGUGAAGGGGGACGGACCUUGGGACUUGGUUUUGUGUUCUUGACGAGGUGGCCGUUGGGUUGGAUUGGAUUUGGCAUUGGGUUGGCGGACUGGACUUGUUUUGCGAACGUUGGCUAAGAAGGCUUGUUGGGCGGGGUGAACAACACAGGCCCGUGUUUGGAUUAGCUGUUUUUUUUAGAACGUUUUUAAAAAAUCUUACUAUAGUAGUGUAUAUAAAAACAUUUUACUAUAAAAUGAUGGCCUCAAUUUGAGUUGCUUUAUAAUUUGAAAAGUCUAGUUAUAGAAAAUAAUUUUAGAAAAUACUUAGCAAAGUUAUUAUUUGAUAGAUUAUGAAUUUUAACUUUUUCUAGUAUAAAAAUUAUUAUCUAAAAACAAAAGCAAAUAAUCAACUCAGAAGAAGCUUUGAUAUGUAUUGGAUCUUUUUUUUUUUUUUCCUGAUUUUGGGUAGAUCUGCAACUAAAUGCAUAAAAAUACUCCAAUAUACUAGGCGAAAUAUUUCAUAUUAUUGGAUUUUUAUAGAUUCAAAAAUUUGUAAUGGUGUUGAAAAUAUCAUCAUAAAAUUUAUUCUUUAGUUUUUAAAUAAAUUUGUUCUUGUUAAAAAGAAUAAUUGCAAAUUUGUCACUUUGAGAAUCCAUUUGCAAUUAGGAUCUUAAUUGCUUGAAGUAAAAGUUGCUAUCUUAUCACAAAACCCAUGAGUUUUGAAGGCCGAAGUAAUAUUUUACCCGAACAAUGUGGUUGCAUAAGACUUUUGUAUGCAUUGCAGUUUAAAAAGCAGUCAACUACUGUCAUAGUGCACCAUGUUUAUAAUUGGAUUAUUCAUUCGCUAAUACGGUCAUCAUGGUGUAUGUACUAUCAAUGAAAGAAAUAUUCCUUCAAUAUUGAAAAAGUAACAAAAAUUCGUGAAAUUCAUGAAGAAAGAAUGAAGGCUAGAGUUGUUAUUGAGUGAAAUAUUGAAGCCUACUAAAGUUACUUGAGUUUGAGUCGAGAGUUCAAUCAAGAUCUAAAACUAGUCUUUUGAUAAAUUUAUAAAUCUCUUACCUAUAAAAGAAAUUUUGCAAUAAAUGGUUAUAAAAUAAUAAUAUAAAUGUGCCAUUCAUAAGGUUCAACAAGUACUUUGACUUUUUGAUUUUUUCUAUUAAUACUCAACUCUAUGAGUAGUAGUUCAAGUGGAUUGAAUUUAACCUUCAACCUCUAGUUGUUUCAAGUUCGAUUAAAAAUUACACCCCCACCGAGAGCAUAUCUUAGUAUGUAUUUUGAUUGAUAAUAAAAAAAAUAGUAAAGUCUUCAAGAUAUUGCAACAUAGGGGGUGUUUGGAACCCAAGUUUUUGAGCAAGUUUGUUUGCUACUAGUUUUUAUACAACUUUUACUACAGGAACCCAAAAAACUUCCAAAAAAAACUCACGUGUCCCUUGUUAAACUUUUAGCAAAACAACGUCGUUUUGCCGCAUCUUGUUUUGAAACUCCAAAACACUUUGCCAGACAGAAGCGGUGCCCUGUACACUUGGACUGUUCGUCGUUUUUGAGCUCACAGAAGCGGUGCCCUAGACAGCGCCGGGGAGGGGGAUUUUUCCACGCACCAGAUUGCAGGAAGGGGGAGGAGAGGGGAAGGCUGAAAAUUGCAAGAAAAAAAAUUUUUGACUGGCUUGUGGAGGAGGUGCGCCUUGACUGCCGGGCGAGGGAAGAGGAAGGGGGAAGGGCUAGGGGGAGAAGAAGGGGAAAGGAAGGAGAGGGGUGGCGGGAGGUGGCAUUGGAGGAGGUGCUGGUGAAGGAGCCGAUGGUGGUGUUGGAGUUGGAGGAGGUGCAGAUAGUGGUGGUGGUGCUGGUGGUGGCGUUGGAGGAGGUGCUGGUGGAGGAGUAGGUGGUGGUGCAGGAGGUGGGGCUGAUGGUGGAGUUGGAGGUGGAGCAGGCGGGAGAGUAGGAGGAGGGGCUGGUGGAGGCAUUGGUGGUGGUGCCGGAGGUGGAGCAGGUGGAGGCGUGGGAGGAGGGGCUGGAGGAGGCUUUGGCGGAGGUGCUGGAGGUGGGGCCGGUGGCGGAGUUGGGGGUGGAGCAGGCUGUUGGGCUGAUGGGAGGCUGCGUUGCUGCAUUGUUGCUGCGUCUGCGUUGUUGCUGCGUCUGCGUUGCUAUUGGGAUGAAGAAGAAGGAGAUAGGGAAGAAAAGAAAAAGGAAAGAAAAAAAAAAGAAAAAGAAAGAGAAAGAGAAAAAGAAAGGAAAAAAAAAGAAAAGGAAAAAAAAAAAUUUCUACCUUACAAAAAUUUCUACAAAAAAGUUUUUCACCUUACAAAAGCUUUUACAAAAUUUUUUCAAAAACUUCUACAGUGCACUACAGUAAAGUUUUAUACAAACUUCCAAAAAACUCAGGUUCCAAACAGGCCCAUAGUGUGUUAAAUAUAGUAGUAAAUCGUUCAAAUCAAAAGUUAAAUGAGAAAAUUCGCAAUUUGUCAUACUUUAGGGGCGCAAACUAGAAUUAAUCUAAACUGUUUAAUAUAAUUAAAAAAUGGAAAAAAUGCACAGAACCCCUUAUAUUUUCCUUUCCGCAUUAAAAGACCCAAUGGAAAUUGAAAGAACUUGCCAGUGCCCUAUGUAUAUAUGAUGACUCUCGGCAGCCAGCAGACUCCUCCCCCUUGCCGCCAAUUCGUUCUUCAACUUCCCCAUUCAAUUCCUCUCAAAUUCUUUUGUCCAAAACCCCUAUUUUUUUUUCAAUGUCCUUAAACGAUGACGAAGAAGAAGAAUCAUCCGGAAGCGACGCCGACGAUGGAUUUGACGAAGACAUGGAAGCUUUAAGAAGAGCCUGUCUUCUCACUGGAACAAACGUAGAUGACCUCGAAAACCCCUGCUCUCCCUCCCCAGCGGUCACCGCCACUACUAGCGGAGCCGCCGCCACUACUGGUUCCGAUUCGGAUGCUGAUGACGCCGAAGAUGACCUUGAAUUGGUCCGUAAUAUACAGAAAAGAUUCGCGAUUGUGACUGAUAAUGCAUUGGAGCCAUUGACACUCGAGCCUUUAUACUCGAUACAUCCCUCUGCGAACGAAGAUGAUGAUUUUGAAACUCUCCGCGCUAUACAGCGGCGGUUUUUUGCUUAUAGUGAAGGUAUAUUGAGUAUAUCUAUCAGGUUUAGUUUAAAAUGUUGCAUUUGGGGGAUUUGGUUUGAGGUUUGAAUAUAUCAACAUAUUUAAUUGCUUGAAAUUAAUUGAUUAACACCUGAAAGUUGUUAAUUUUGGGAAUUUUUUCUGCAUUGUUUAGUGAACUAACUUAAAUAUGGUACAAUCUGAAAUUCGUUGUCUCUAUGUAAAAGUCAUGCUUUAUCGUCUGUACUGGGUGAGUCGCAGAGACAGAACCACAAACUAGAAAGCAUAUUUAGAUUUAAAUAUCCUUUUUUAGACAGGAAUUUGAGCAGCACAGAAAGAACGCUCGAGUUUGCAUAACUCCUAAUAUAAUCCGGGUUUUAAGUUUGAAAGCUGUCACUUUUUAGCAAAUGGUGAGUUUUACUUCUUUGGGAAGAUUAUGUAUAGAAGAAAAAGUUGAGGUGUAAGAAAUAGAAAAUACAAUGAGGUGAAGGUGUUGCUCCAUCUAUAACAGUCAACUUUUGAUGUUUUAUCGGCAUAUCAUUGAGGCUGGAAAGGGCUAAGUUAAAUAGCCAGUGCUAUAGACAUACAUUUAUACUAGUCACUGUGAUUAAAACUUCAUUGAGAUUCUAUUUGUUGUUGUUUUCUUUCAGUUUUGCAGGUCAAGCGUGAUGCUUAUGAAGUUUUUGAUUGAAUCCUAUACAUGGUUUACUGUGUUUACAGAUUUUUUCCUGAUGACAUGUGCUUUAGUAAGGGCUUCAACAUAAGGAAGCAUUUAACGUUACUGUUGUUUUAAUUCAGGUGGGCUGGGAGAAAGCACGGAAGUUGUAUCUCACAAACCUGAGAAUUCUAAUUUGCAAGAAGAGUCUCCCAGUUAUCUGGACAAGAUCAACAAUGCCACCAAGGAUAUUGAAGCUUGUAGUAAGGUUAAUGCUGGAACCCAGCCUUCUGAUUUCAGUGAGUGGCACGAUUCUGAUUCUGUUAAUGCAGCUAUAUUGCCUGUUAAAGGUUCCUCUUUCCCAAAAGCAGCUGAAGCCUUUGUGGAUGCAAUCAAGAAGAAUAGGUCUUGUCAGAAACUAAUUAGGAGCAAAUUGUUGCACAUUGAAACCAGGAUUGAAGAGCUAAAAAAAUUGAAGGAAAGGGUGAAAAUCCUGAAAGAUUUUCAGGCUACUUGUAGAAAGAGAGUUGGCCAAGCCUUAUCACAGAAGAAGGAUGCCCGCGUCCAGCUAAUAUCUGUGCCAAAGCUAAGUGCUAAUGUGCAGGUUAGUGCACUAAAGACUAUUUCACUUAGACUCUCAAGUAUUCAUUUUUUAUUAAGCCAACACGAAAAUUGCUUCUUUAUAGGGACACUGUUGGUAUUUCAAGUUCUUAAAUCAAUGUUGCCAUUUGCACAAAUAUUUUAAGAGCAUAUGUUAAGUUGAAGUUUUGUGAUAUUUGUCAGGAGUCUGAAUUUUGAAAUACAUUUUUCUGUUGCUUUUGCAGCUUAGUCAGAAGAAGUCAUCUCCUAUGCAAUAUGGGCCUGCUGAGAAUUCUCAAGUUGCUAAUUAUAGAGAGGCUUUAGAAAAGUUUCCUGUAUCUGUGAUUCGAAAUAAGUGGUCAAAGGAAGAGAGAGAGAAGCUCUCGAAUGGUGUGAAACAGCAAUUUCAAAAGAUGUUGCUUCAAAGAUCAGUUGAUUUACUAAGGUAUUUAUUCUACUAUGUGCAGGAUGCGAAUUCACAUCAGUACAUUUAUUUGAAUUUUUUACAUUUACCUAUCAUCCUAUGUUUAACCUUUAGUUAAGGUUUUUGCAUGUAUAGUCUUGUUUUCUAAAUAUAGACAAGGAUAAGAACAAAGAUUUUUUUGGAUUACGGCAAUCUGCUACUUGAGCAAAAAGAAUAUCUAGGUCUAUCAACUGGCAAGUAACUAAGUAAUGCGUUUUCAAAAAGAAUAAAAAGUCAUUGUGAUGUAUAUGAGAUCCAACGUGAUUCAUAGAAUUUCAACUUGAAAAUCAAAAAGCAGUAUCAUUUGGAUUGCUUUGACUGUUAAUUUGACGUCCAAAAACAAGUGUUACAACUUGAAGUCCUCCCUAUUGAACUAAUGUUCCACUCAAAUAGUUUUGAGAAUUAUUAAUGCCAAUAAUAAAUUGAUAAAUGAGAGAGCUUACCUUUAUAAUCAUUUAACUUUAUAUUAAUUUAAUUGGUUGAAAAAUAAGUUUUUGUGACUAGAUUUCUUUUUUGUCUAAGAAUAUCAUGGCUUAUGAUUGUCACUUCUUUUGAUGCUCUGCUCACAGUGAUGGAGAUGGAUCUUUUGAUGAUUCUGAUAAUUUGGACAGCAUUGUUGCAUCAAUCAGGGAUCUCGAUAUUACCCCUGACAAGAUGAGACAAUUUCUGCCAAAGGUCAACUGGGAUGAGUUAGCCUCCAUGUAUCUUCCUGGUAGAUCCGGUGCCGAAUGUCAAGCAAGGUGAAUGCAAAAAAUGUUUUGUUGCAUAUAAUGUUUAUGCAUUUUGAGUACUUCUUCAUCCUGGUAGUCGUUGAAGUAGUAGUAAUAGGAGUCAUAGGGGAUGGUGAUUUUCCAAGAGCACAAACAAUUGAAAUGGUAGCAAUGUGCUGUGAUAGGCAAAUUUUAAUAAAGUAGUUUUCAGGCAUGUCUUCGUAGAGAUUUAUCCAUUUUUUAUACAGACUGGCACGUUCUAUAUUUUUCAAGAGCUUAUCAUUUGUUUUGUGAGCCUGUAGCAUAUCAAUUACUCUUGAUGUAUGUAACAUUUGUUUAUUCUUUCAGUCCAAAGUUACUUUUUGAUUGAUAUAGUAUAGUUUAUGGAUAUGGCUUUGAACUUGUCUUGUUGAGCUUGAUUGCUUGAAAUGUGUUGCAUGAGAGUCUAUUCUUGUAUCUGAGCUACCCUAAUGAGGUGGUUUUUUCCCCUUAGGACCCAACCUCCAAUAGAAAAAGAAAAAUGUUGAAAAAGAGCUUGCAUGAAAGUCAUCUUCUAAUUCUGUUUUGGACUUGUUGGCUGAUCCGUUUAAAAAUUUUGCAGGUGGUUGAACUGUGAGGACCCCUUAAUUAACCAAAAUUCUUGGACUUCAACGGAGGACAAGAAUCUGCUGCAUGUUGUUCAACAGAAGGGGCUUAGUAACUGGAUAGAUAUUGCUGUAUCAAUGGGGACAAAUAGGACCCCGUUUCAGUGCUUGGCUCGUUAUCAAAGAAGCCUUAAUGCUUCCAUAAUCAAAAGGGAGUGGACUGAGGAGGAGGAUAAUCAACUUCGAGCAGCCGUAGAGGCUUUUGGAGAAAGCAACUGGCAGGUCGUUGCUUCGGCUAUGGAAGGACGGAUAGGUACCCAAUGCUCUAAUAGGUCAGUUUGCUUCUUAACCUGUAUGUUGGUUUUAAGUCUUUUCUUAAGCAAUGUUAAAUGUUUGUUUGUUGAAAUUGAAAGGAAGUAAAUUGAAAACAUUGGGGUAUGGUGUGACAUUGAAAUAUGCGAUUCUUUUCAUGCUUAUGUCAACUAGGUUUUUGAACCCUGACCAUGUCUUUUAAACUGAUGCAGAUGGAUGAAAUCACUUCACCCAGCCAGGCAAAGGGUUGGUAAGUGGACUCCAGAGGAAGACAAGCGCUUAAAAGUUGCUGUGAUGCUCUUUGGGCCGAAAACUUGGAAAAAAAUAGCCCGAUUUGUCCCUGGAAGGACACAAGUUCAGUGUAGAGAAAGGUAGCUAUACUUCUCUUUCAGUAAGGUACUGCUAUUGUUUGAUUUGCUAAUAACAUGGCCUUGUUUUUGGAACCAGAUGGGUGAACUGCUUAGAUCCCUCUCUAAAUCGGAAUGACUGGACACAAGAAGAGGAUUCAAAAUUAAAGGCAGCCAUUGAAGAGCAUGGCUAUUGUUGGUCUAAGGUUGCAGCGUGUGUUCCGCCUCGUACUGAUAGUCAGUGCCGAAGGUAAUAUUCCAGUCAGAUAGUUUGCAUGAGAUCACUGUUGGUGUUUACCUUUUAUUUUCUCACGAGUCUUGAUUCUUCUUGCUUUUAUUUUGAUUCUAAUCAGGAGAUGGAAGGUGCUUCUUCCACAUGAAGUGCCUUGGCUUCAAGCUGCCAAAAAGAUGCAAAGGGCCGCUCUGAUUUCAAACUUUGUCGAUCGGGAAUCAGAACGGCCUGGCCUACUGCCUAGUGAUUUUGUCCCAUUGCCAGAAAUAACUUGUACAUCUGAAUCUGAGCGUAUCAAUCUCUCUGGACAUCAGAACUGGGGGUUGAGGUAUGAUGUUUCAAUGUUCGUAUUUUAUAGUGUUCAAUGAUGAAAUGCCAAUUUAUGUAACACGUAACUUGGCUUGUGUCUAAUAAUUUCAUGUGACUUUACAGCAAUCUAUGCUCCGAGGAAGUUUUGGCCAGUGGCACUGAGGUGGAGAGCUUCACUGGUGAUUCAAUCUCAAGAAGGAAGAGACAAAAGAGGAAGUCAAGGAGGACCAAUUCUAUUGCUUCAUCGGAAGAACAUUUGUCCUAUUGUCCAGAUACAAUGCAUUCUUCAGAAACAAUGCACAGUAACGAUCUGGAGACAUUGGGUGGAUUUAAUCAUUGCCAAAAUAGGUACGAUCUCAAUCUGAAUGUGGUAAUAAGAGUCUCCUCUGUGAUUGCAUUUGUGUUUUUUCAUUUAUUUGAUGGUUGGCUUUCUUUUGUCUGUUUAUAGAAGCUCACAGAAGUCCAAGGGCAUGGCUUCUGGGUACAAGUGUACUUCCAAAAAGAGGGCUAGGAGAACACAUCCCAAGAGGGAUGGAUGUUCUGAUAGUGUAGAUCGGAUAUCAUCUUCUAAUAACGUGAAUUCGUUGAUUAUGACUGGUGGAGAGGAGACAAGGGAACUGGUUAGAGAUGAUGGAUCCGGUACUCAGUGUAAACAAGAUUUUGACCAACAUCCAAGCUACAGCAGAUGCAACAAGUCACUAGAAGAAAAUGGAGGUUGUAAUGACACAGAAGGUCAUCAAUUAUCAUUUGAUAAUCCAAAUUUGUUGUUGAUAGCGAAAGGAGAAGAGGCAGUUGAAGUUAAUAGAAGCGAUGGAGUAGCUACCUUCGGUCAAAAGGCUUCUAAAUUACAUCCAAGACGGUCUGGACACAAUGAACCACCGGAUGGAAUUCCUGGAAUAUCCUUUCCCAAUACUGCUGAAUUUGAUGUUGUACAUGAUACUGUUGUUAAUAAGCAGAGAAGUGAGACCAAGUCAACUCCAGAGAAGAGUGAAAGUACUAAUGCUGUAGACCAUCACUCAUCAUCGCUGUUGAAUUCAACAGUGGAGAAGGACUUGGGUACAUCUGGCGUCAUUGGUAGCAAGAGAGGCAAAAGAUCAAGAAAUAGAGAUGAGAUUUCAGUAGUAGAAGAAACAGAAAAUGAUGACAUGACCCUUGCUGAAUUUUGCAAUAAAAGAUUAGCAGCAGAAAAUACAGGGGAUGAUGACAUGACGCUUGCUAUGUUUUGCAACAUGAUUAAGAAAAGGAGAAGAGGUUAAAUUAGCCAAUGAGUGCAUUCUUGCAGGAAAAGGCCAUUCCAUGGGAGAUGAGAACUUUGAGAAUACGGGAACUGCAUGGGAAACAUGGAAGUGUAUCUUGCCUAUACAAAAUUUGGAUUAUGGCAGGUUGAGAUAACAUAACUAGGAAUAAUAGUCCGGCAGGAAGGGGCCAUCCCGGGGGAGAUGAGAACCUUAGAGAAUACAGAACUGCAUUGGAGAUAUGGAAUUAUGUCCUGUGAACACAAAGUUUAGAUGCAGGCAAGUGAACAUAGCAUAACAAGGAGUAAGAGUGCGUGCCAUGAUACAAUGGGUGAUUUUUUCCGUUUGCACCCACCGAAUGAGAUUUCCCGAGUUUUGCUUGUACAGCAGCGGGUAAAAAAAUUUUGUUAUUUGAGUAUAUAGGGUUUGACUAUUUUUGCGUCCCCAUGUUGCAUGAGUUGUAUCAAUGUCUUGAUUUUUCUUGAAGUAAGUUUUGAGUAACUCCUGUAUUUUCAGUGGUGGUCGUCUUAAUUCCGAAGCAAUUCAUGAAUGAAACUAUUCGAUCGCAAAUGAAAGGCAGAAAUUGCACCUUCUUUGGCUUUUGUUUGCCUUUUUUGGACGUCAACAAAUGUAACUCAAAAAAGUCCCAAAUUAGCUGCCUCACGCAGGAAUACCCCGGGUUAAGGCUUGCGGAGUUUUCCUGGUGCUGGUGACUGCAGGCUAAAAACCAAUCACUGCCCGAGAUUGUCAUUUAUCACCCGAAGCUAAAAGCCGCAUCAACGAUGCUAUAGUUGCACGCCAAUGUCUACCUGUCACCGUUGGGGCUGCGCUAUUCAGUUGAAAUAAUGUAUAGGCUCUUCACCUCUGAUUUUCCAUAACAGCAUAAUAACCUCUGCCAAUAUAAACUGGAAAUGCGAUGCCUUGGCCAGGAAUGAGGCAAAGUUUCUUCUCCUCCUAAAAAUUUUGGUGACCGAUUACAGAGUAUUCAGUGGAAAACCUUUACAUGCUAUGCGGAAGAUGAAAGUUUAAUACUUACUAUUUCCAGUUUCUUAAUUUGCCAUCUGAAUUUAUCACAUCUUCACAGCAUAAGAAUUAGCUGUGAAACAGCAAAUAUUGGUAUUCAAUCUAAUUCGUUUUGACAAGUUAGUGUCUAAAUUUUUGUUACUAAUUUUAACAAGUAUAAUGUUUUUCGAUUAUAGACUGACUAUAUAUAUAUAUAUAUAUAUAUAUAUAUCGUGUAUAAAACUAAUUUUAUUUGGGAGUGGAAAUCAGACGUAAAUGGUCAAUUUUCACUCUAUUAUUAAGAUUCACUUUAAAAUUUAAGAUUUAAGCAUGUUGUAAAUUUUUUUUUUAUAAAAAAAUACAUUGUCAUUUAUGCCUUUUGGCAUUGUUAUCUUUCUCAAUUUUUUUUUGUGAAAAACAAAAUCAUUUUAUUAAAAUUUAUUGAAUUUUUGACAUUAUUACCUUAAGUGAUAUGCCGUAUAAAAGAUAAAAAGAUGUGUUAUAAAUUGUGUUUGUGAUGCAAACAAAUAAAUUAGAGCCAAAUAAUGGCUAUCCAAACACACUAUGCACCAUUAUUAUUGUAUUAUAUGCCAGAAAAUAGACUCACACGAGAAAUCUUCCCAAAAAAAAGAAAAGAUGACUCAAAAAAAAAAGUUUCGUUCCAAUAUUCAAACAACCCAUCCGAAGCCCGCCCGCCCGCCCACAUAAACCAUACCCACCCAUUUCUUCCCACCUAAAACCAAUUCCCUUCGCAAAACCCUAAAAUCCUCCGACCUAUAUAUAUAUUCACGCUUCACUCCCUCUAGGGUUUCUUUUAUCUCUCAUUUCCCUGUAUUUUCCAUUUUCCGCCUCUCUCCUCCCAAAAACCCUGCAUCCCACAGCCGCUCCUCCUCCCUGAAAAUGUCUCAAGAUCAGCUGAUCCUCCGCGGCACAAUGAGGGCCCACACCGACUGGGUCACGGCCAUCGCCACUCCAAUCGACAACACAGACAUGAUCGUCACUUCUUCCCGCGACAAAUCCAUCAUCCUCUGGUCCUUGACCAAAGAAGACAAAACCUACGGCGUCCCUCGCCGCCGCCUCACCGGCCACUCUCACUUCGUCCAAGACGUCGUUCUCUCCUCUGAUGGUCAGUUCGCUCUCUCCGGCUCCUGGGACGGCGAGCUCCGCCUUUGGGACCUUCAAUCUGGCAACACCGCUCGCCGCUUCGUCGGCCACACUAAAGAUGUUCUCUCCGUAGCCUUCUCCAUUGACAACCGCCAAAUUGUCUCUGCUUCUCGCGACAAAACCAUCAAGCUGUGGAACACUCUCGGGGAAUGCAAAUACACCAUCCAGGAUGCUGAUGGGCAUACCGAUUGGGUUUCUUGCGUUCGGUUUAGCCCGAAUAAUCUGCAGCCGACAAUUGUUUCUGGGUCGUGGGAUCGAACUGUGAAGAUUUGGAAUUUGAGUAACUGUAAGAUGAGGGCAACUUUGGCUGGGCAUACUGGGUAUGUGAAUACUGCGGCGGUUUCUCCUGAUGGAUCGUUGUGUGCUAGUGGAGGGAAGGAUGGAGUGAUUUUGUUGUGGGAUUUGGCUGAGGGAAAGAAGCUCUAUUCGUUGGAUGCUGGUUCCAUUAUCCAUGCUUUGUGUUUUAGUCCUAACAGGUACUGGCUUUGUGCUGCAACUGAGGCGAGCAUUAAGAUUUGGGAUUUGGAGAGUAAGAGUAUUGUGGUGGAUUUGAGGGUUGAUUUGAAGCAAGAGAGCGAAAUGGCUGCUGAAGGCACCACUGUUCAGACAACUGGUGCUAAAAACAAGGUCCAAUUUUUGCCCCCUGUUUUCUUAAAUUUUGUUGAUUUUAGUAGUCAGGAUGAUGCAGCGAAUUUGUUUAUUACUUUAUCUGUUCGUUUAGUAUGGUGGACAAUCCAGUAUUUUGUUGUGUGAUCAAGAAACUGUGUUUGUGUUUUGAGAUCAUGUGCAUUUGGGUAAUACUCUUAGAUGCUGUGUUGUGGGUUUAAGUUGUUUGAUUUAGUUUGCUCCGAGCUUAUGCAGCUAUGUAAAGAUCUUGUGGUAAUGGUUUGUGUGAAAUAUAUUGUAUGUGUACUAAGUUGAAUUAAGGAGCUUGAUAUGGUUUAUAGUUUCCCAUUGCUUGCAAUGGGAACUUUGAUUGUGUUUUUUUUUUGUUUUCAUGAAGCUGUACGUGCUUUCUUACACAGUCAAGGUCCUACAGAAGAAUUCAAUGUCAAUUUGAUCUUACAGUGAAUUUUUAUGUUGUGAUCAGCAUACGUAAUCUUAGUGCAUUUUUGUGUACCUUUUGUGUCAGUAAAAUUGUUUUUUGAUGCCAAACGUGGUGUGCAUUUGGAUGAAAACAUUGAACUGUAUUCUGAAGAUUUUCCAGUUGUUAGGUUGGAAAUGUUGAUGCUUCCAUGUUAGUUUCCUAUGGGGUUCAUUUGAUCAAAUUUUAGCUUGAACUAUACUUGAAUGCCCUACUCUUUUUGGUUCUCUCCCAUGCCAUGUUGAAACUUUCUGAGUCUCAAUGCUGUUACAUUGCUAUUAUUCUGAUUAAGUGGAGUUUUCCUUUCUGUGUAAGUUCAUUGUGGAAUGCGUGGCACCAUGGCCUAGAGUUUAUCUUGGGUAAAAACCUGUGAGAGUUUGGUUUGUAUUUGCUUUAUAGGAUUUAUUUGCGUGUUGGCUGCCUAAUAUUAUGCUUGUCAUACUCAGUUGUCCUCACCAGGCUUUUGCUGCAAUUAUACAGUUGCCAACAUAGCUAGUAAAAGCUGUCCAUGUUUUACCCUGGUUUUGACCCUAUAAGUUUACUGGUCUAUUUAAAUUUUUAUUUUCUGCACUGUGGCUUGCAGGUCAUCUACUGCACCAGUCUUAGCUGGAGUGCUGAUGGAAGCACACUUUUCAGUGGUUACACAGAUGGUGUCAUCAGAGUUUGGGGUAUCAUGCGUUACUAGAAAGCAUAUGUGGUGUGGUGGUGCAUUCAGCACAUGCGUGUCAUAGUGAAAUUUAGUUGUUUAGAUUUAAGUUGAAAUGCUGGAAGGAUAUUUGGAUUCUAUAUUUUUGUUUUGAUGAUUUUGAGAUCUACCUUGUUUCAAUUUUGGAUAUUACUGUAGUCGUUACCCUGAGUUUCCUAGACUCCUAUAAAUCAAGUUCUUUUACUCAAAACCAUGUCAGUUACUUUUCAAUCCCCCUCCACAGUCCGAUAGAUCUCAUCCUUGAAAUACCAAUUUACUUGGGAAAAAGUUUGCAUGUUUCUUCCAGUUACUAUGUGAUUUUCCGCAGCUGUGAACACUGGGUUGUUCAUUUCUUGGCACCUCAUGCUUCAGCUUCAAUCCAAGCUUAAACAAGUUGUCGUGCCUAGUGUUUGAGAAAAUGCAACCCUUGAUGAAAUGGCCUGCUUUUUGGACUCUGUGUAUUUCGCAUGCGGUUCUUUCUUUUCUCUUUAUUGCUUUGGGAGCGGAGGUAUUUCCGGAUUCAAGGUUAGAAAUGAUAGAGCGUUGGGUCCUUAAACUUUUUAACUCUACUGCUGUAAGAAGGGUAAACAGUUUUCCUUGGUUUGAUUCACAUCAUUCUAAAAGAAAAUGACUUUGACAGGAUUGCAUACACGCUGUCAUGUGAAUGUAACAGAUAUGCACUUGUCUAAUUAACAGUGAAAUUUAUAACGGUAUUGUGCUGCCAAGUAAAUGAUGUGAAUAUCUCCUCGGCUUUUAAACACAAAGUUUAGUUUAGAGUCACAAAGUGGAAAAAGGUGUGGAUGUGCAAAAGAAGCACUAGCCUAAAGCAAAACUAGAAGCGCACUCAAGUAAAUAGGGUACGAAAGAGAUGAGGAACACCUAGAUGCUACUCAAGAAGGCCUUGGGGCAUAGAUUUAACAGGACAUACUUCAAAAAUUAGGCCUAAAGAUCUUUUGUCGACGUUUGGUUUUGUGCUCUCUCGAGCUCAUUGUAAUGCUCAAUCGCUGUUGCACGGUUCAAAAUUGUUGUAUAACAUGAAGACCUGUUGGAUAUCUGUCCGAAAAUUGCUCAGCGAGGUUCGUCAUGAGCCCACUGCGGUGGAGCAAAUCUGACCAGCUCAGUGAACUCUGCGUCAUAUUGUGCGACAGACAGUAUCCUGCUCUAGACGGAAAGAUUCAAGCAUCCCACAAAGAGCUUAAGUGCCUUUGUGGUCCAAGGGCCGUUGGUUCUUCUUUGAACAUAUUCGAACUAUGUGGUCCUGCAUUCACCAUUUGCCACCAAUGGCGUGCAGGAAAGUGGCAUAGGCCACUGAAGAAGCACGGAACUUCCCCUGACCGAGCUGACCUGAUGAGCUCGGGAUGUCGAUGGAAGAGCUGGUUCCAAGCCUGCAAAACAGAGGAGUGGACUUACGAGGGAGCCCUGAGGUGGUCCCCGAGGGCACUCCGACGGUCAAGUUAAUUUUCCGGUGAGUAGGGUUCCCGGGGAUUAACUUAGUCAGAGUGGAUUGAGCAUCAGGAGUGAGCGUACCUUGGGCAAUGGGUGUGUAGCACUAUUUAUACCUGGGCCAGAGUCCGACCUCCGUACGUUCCGGGACCUUCCUGAUAUAAUCUCAAUCCCGCGCCGAGCGGGAUCUCCUCCGACCUCUGCGGGACGGUCUCCUGAUCCCCCUGGAGCCCUAGCGGGGGUGCGGCCCAGGGCGGUCGCCAGGAGCCUGGGGCCGGAGCCCAGCUCGGCUAUACCUGGGCUGCCACGUGUCUAGGCCCAGUACGGGGCCUCUGCACUAGCCCCCUAGAUUAGGUAAGACUUCCAGGCAGACCUAAUCUAUACUCUGCCACGUGGGAGACCAGCGUCGUGCACUGCUCUGCCCCGGUCACCUCUGGUACAGUGCUGUCACUGAGAAAACCGCGCCGAUCUCCUGGGUCGAGCGUCAAACUCCCAAGUUUCGACAAACUUGAUCAAUGCGUGCCGACCUCAUGGGACCGAGCAUCAAAUUGCCACUGACAUGGUUUAAGCCCCCAACUUUUAAAGAUUUGAGCCUUGCCGACCUCCUGGGUCAAACAAACUCAUUCAAGUUAAGGCACAACGUGCCGACCUCUUGGGGCCGAACAUCGCACUUUCCGACUUCAAAAUUUCAAGCCGUGCCGACCUCUUGUGGCCGAGCAUCAUACUUUGAAGGCAGUCACGCCGACCUCCCGGGUCGAGCGUCGAACUCUGAUUUUAGCGGAUAUGCCAACCUCUUGGGGUCGAGCAUCACAUUUCCAAGGCAGUUAUGCCGACCUCUUGGGUCGAGCGUUGAACUCCCUGAUUUUAGCAGACGUGCCGACCUCUUGGGGUCGAGCAUCACAUUUUCCAGGCAGACAUGCCGACCUCCUGGGUCGAGCAUUACAUUCUCAGGGCAAUCGUGCCGACCUCCUGGCCGAGCCAGCGUGCUCCCUGGUUUUGACAAGCUGUCUCAAAGUAAGUCACGGCGUGCCGACCUCUUGGGGUCGAGCAUCACACCUUCAGGACGGUCAUGCCGAUCUCUUGGUUCGAGCGUCAAGCUUUACAGGCAGUCACGCCGACCUCCUGGGUAGAGCGUCAAGGCUUUAAAGAUAGCCCUGCCGACCUCUUGGGUCGAGCGUCAAAUUCUUAAGGAUAGGCCGCGCCGACCUCCUAGGCCGAGCGUUAGACUUCCAAGGUAUUCAUGCCGACCUCAUGGGUCGAGCGUCGAAUUCCCGGAUUUCCGCAAACUCAGACUCUAAAGCUUCAAACUGCGCCAACCUCCUGGGUCGAGCCUCGUCGAACUCCCAGGUUUCGAAGCUUUAAACCGUGCCGACCUCUUGGGGCCGAGCAUCGUCGAGUUUCUCGUGCCGACCUCUUGGGGCCGAGCAUGAUAGAACUUCUCGUGUCGGCCUCUUGGGGUCGAGCAUCGUCGACCUCCUGGAUCGAGCGUCAAGGCUUUAAAGUUAGCCCUGCCGACCUCUUGGGUCGAGCAUUAAACUUUAAUGGCAGCCACGCCGACCUCCUGGGUCGAGCUUCAGGAUUUUAGAGAUAGUCCUGCCGACCUCUUGGGCCGAGUAUUGAACUUUAAAGGCAGCCAUGCCGACCUCCUGGGUCGAGCGUUAAGGCUUUAAAGAUAGCCCUCUCCGAUGUCCGAGCUCUCGAUCUGACUUUCUCUUCAGGCGAGCCGCCUCCUCUGCGUUGGCAGCUGCGUGAGCCGGGGUCAAGAGCUCCUCCAUGUCUCCGGGAAGCUUCUCGGCCAGCUUGUAGAAGAGCUCCUCUACCCUGAGCCCGUUCAUGAAGGCGGCCAUGACCACCUUUUCGUCCUUGUCCCUGAUCUGUAAGCUCUCCGUGUUGAAACGGGUCAUGAAAUUCCUCAACGACUCGUCGGGCCUCUGCCUGAUAGCCAUCAGGUGAGUCGCGGUCUUCGAAUAGGUCUUGGAAGAGACGAAUUGGACGACAAACUCUGGCCAGCUCUGGAAAACUCCGGAUGGACCCCGGUGCCAGACCUUGGAACCAGAGCCGGGCCUUCCCCUUCAGGAACAUGGGGAAGGUCUUGCAGCGGAUCUCGUCCGCCGCAGUUUGCAGGCGCAUGUGCGUCAGGAAGACCGAAAGGUGAUCUUCCGGGUCGGUCGAGGCAUCGUACAACUCGAUGUUUGGGAUCUUGAACCUCCGGGGUAGUGGGUAGUCUUCUAUCUCCCGGGUAAAGGGCGAUGUCAUGUAGUCGUCCUCGUACGGCCGUGGCCGCAGGAUCUGCUCGAUUUCGUUUCGGACAGGCUUCCACAGAGGGAUCGCGCGGCCGGCUCUUGACAGAUCGGGUGGGAGAGCGUUCAGGCUCGUUCCACGCAGGCUUCCGUGGGGAGGGGUCCCUCGGCCUGCUCCCCGCGGGCCUGUCGCGGGAGUGCCUUUCGCUGUCCCCUACCACCGAGGCUCGGGGGCGAGGGGGAGUCCGUGGCCGUUUCCUCCGGGGAGGCUGGUCUCGUGACCCAUCCUCCGAGGGGUCGGGAAGUGGUUCCUUUUCCUUCCCCUUCACCUUGGAGGUAUGUGCGCCACCGGCUUCGCCCCCUUCCUUCGCCUGCCGGAUUAUGUCUUCCAGCAUGGGGAGGUUCUCCGUCACGAACUGGAGGAUCUGCUGUCUUCGCUCCCCUGAGAGGGCUGAGCCCCCAACGCCCCCGACCGCUUCGGUUUCCGCUCGGCGGGAUCCCUCUCCGGCUCCAGGACCGGUGCUUUCAACGGUUCGCUUGGAUCGUGUUCUUGCCAUCAACACUAACAAUUACCUUUCGGUUCCCACAGACGGCGCCAACUGAAGAAGCACGGAACUUCCCCUGACCGAUCUGACCUGAUGAGCUCGGGGUGCCGAUGGAAGAGCUGGUUCCAAGCCUGCAAAACAGAGGAGUGGACUUACGAGAGGGCCCUGAGGUGGUCCCCGAGGGCACUCCGACGGUCAAGUUAGUUUUCCGGUGAGUAGGGUUCCCGGGGAUUAACUUAGUCAGAGUGGAUUGAGCAUCAGGAGUGAGCGUACCUUGGGCAAUGGGUGUGUAGCACUAUUUAUACCUGGGCCAGAGUCCGACCUCCGUACGUUCCGGGACCUUCCUGAUAUAAUCUCAAUCCCGCGCCGAGCGGGAUCUCCUCCGACCUCUGCGGGACGGUCUCCUGAUCCCCCUGGAGCCCUAGCGGGGGUGCGGCCCAGGGCGGUCGCCAGGAGCCUGGGGCCGGAGCCCAGCUCGGCUAUACCUGGGCUGCCACGUGUCUAGGCCCAGUACGGGGCCUCUGCAGCCACCUUUUCCUCGUCACUGCAUCCGGAAAUGUCCAUCUCAGAUAGGCCUGUCAAUGGGCCGGUCCGGGCUGAAAUUCAUUAUUUCGAACCCGGACCCGGCAUACCAAAUCGGAUCCGGAUUCGAUCCGUUUAUCCGACGGGUCUUCUACUCUAUGUUUCGGAUCCGGAUCCGGGUCUACCUCCGAAAAAAAUUAUGAAAAUUUACAAUUUCUAAUAAAAAUGAAAAAAAAUAUAUUUGUACACUAAUUUCUAACUAAUACAAAAAAAAAAUCAAAUAAGAAAAUAAAUCAAAUUGACUUUACUCAAAUACAUCAUCCUAAUCAAAUUAUAUUAAUAAAUAUACAUAUUUUAAGUUAUUAAUUCAUUUAUAUCCAGAUCCGGGUUUAAUACGGGUCGGAAUAUUAUAUUCCGUAUCCGACACAUUUUUUUGUUUUACAAAAUGGAUCCGGAUCCGGGUCCGGGUAACGAAAUUAAAUCCCUACCCAUACUAUAUUCCGUAUCCGAUCCAUUUUUUUGUUUGACAAAAUGGAUCCGGGUAACGGAAUUAAAUCUCUACCCAUAUCUGCAAUAAUUUCACGAAUCCGGGGCGGGUCUGGGUAUAGACCCGAACCGUUGACCGGCCUAAUAUCAGAUAACCAGUCAUAGGCCGCUAGCUGUUCCGAAGUCCCAUCAAAGGAUGGCGGUGCCAGUUUCAGAAACUUGCAUAUCCCGUUUUGCUUGUGCAGUUCCCAAAGCCUGGUGUCCAUUUCUUGCAUCUUCUGCAUCGUCACAUGAUCUUGCUGCUUGCACAGAGCAUCAAUGUUCUCUUGGGGAAGCAGACCAGUCUGCAUAAUUGAGGAGUCUACACAUUGGAAGUCAUUCAAGUGAUCAGAUCCCUUACAAUGCUGUGAUGUCAUUUCAGCCUACAUCCAUGAUCCACUUGAAAAGUUAUAGAGCAUGAAAAAUAUUAGCAAAAUGCCUUCCCUCCUUCAAAAAACAAUACCAUUAGAAAACUAUUGAAAAAAGAAAGAAGGAAAUAAAUAAAGAGAAAUUACUAGUGGUAGGGGUGGUUGAACAGCCAUUUUUCCCCGAAAAAUUGCAUCAUUUUUUGUAAUUAUAUUUUUUUAUUAUUAUUAUUUUUAUAUACAUCAAAUUGCUAUAGUAAUUUUUCUACAAAAAAUCCGAGAAAACCCAAUCCAAACAACUAUAAAGGUACCUGAUCCCAAGUCCCUACUUAUGAACAAACUCCAGCUUACACAACAUCUUAUCUAUUUGACAUGCACGUAACUUUGUCUUGUAAGCCAUGCCGUUUAAAUCAUCAAAAUUCACCAGUAAAAUAAAGACUAUUUUGCAAAGAAAUGAGCCCCUAAGUAUUUUGAAAUACUAGUAGUCUAAUCCACUUUCCACAAUCUACAAAGUCCUCCAUCAACUAAACCAUUCCCAAAAAAAAAAGUACUUAAUUCAAAGCAAAACCCCUAAAUUUUGAUUGGAAAUGCAAAUAUUGGUAGAAUAACGUAGCAAUAUUAUAAUUAAUAUCGCAAAUCCACUCUAGCUGGAGAGUGUGAAUGGAAGUCUGAGCUAAGUUAAAAAAAAUGCAGGAACGAACUACUAGUGUAAUCAAUAAUCUCGAAGUAACAAGUGUUUCAGGUUCUCAAUACGUUAUGCUUGUGGGUUGUUUUUUUUUUUCACUUUUUUUUUGGAUGAAAUUGUGUGUUGGUUAAAUACGUUAAUUUCUUUUCUAGAUCUUCAGGCUAAUAAAAUCUAAAUUCUUGAAACCGGAAACCAUUUUUUUUCGUUAAGAAAACAAACAAAAUUUAAAGGCUGUAUUAUGUUCUUUAACCAAAUCAGAAUUUGAUUUUUAUCAGAAUGAUAUCUUUCUAUUCAGCUCAGUUGAAAUAAAUAUGAUUUCGAUUCCAAUCCAAAUUUAAUUUCGAUAGAGAGCCAAAUACAGUCUUAUUUUGAGUUUGUUGAACAUUUACAAGUGGACAACAAAUAUAAAUUCUGACUAUUUUUUUUUUGGCUGCUAGAAAAGAUAUAAAAUGGACAACAAAAAAUAAUUAAGAAAAAAAGAAAAAGAUAUAUAUAGGCUUUCCUUUAGCCCUGCUCCCCGCAAGCAAAAACGAAUAGUCAAGCAAGCAUUCAAGGCCUGCAACAAACCACCAAUUUGGCAAAUUUCUCGUUUUAGCUUAUUCUGCUUUGAGCUUUUCGAAGUUUUGCAACAUCCCUUCACCUUUCUUACCCUUUCUUUCCCAAAACCCUCCUCAACUGUGACUUGUUUGUGGGAGACAGAGCACGGAGGAAGAAAAAGGUCUGGCCUUUGUCCAGGCCGAUUAAUGCUGAAAACCCAAACAAAGCGGCAAAGCUAGCUAUAAAAGCAAAGAGAUUGAAUGUGGUUGGGCCCGUUAUUCCUGUUAAUUUCUAGUGUAUAGAAAUCUAUCUGAAUCAUAUUGUAUUGGGUUUGAAUUUUUUUUUUUUUGGAUAGCAAGCUAAAUGAUAAUAAAGAUUGCAUUUUUAUGGGGUCAAACUUGGUUUCUCUGCAUCAAUUCACCGUUCUGAAUUCUGGGUUUUUCAUGUUUUCAAUUAUAUUUGCGGUUUUUUUAUUUUGGAAAAUUCGUUGUAUUUUUGCUCGUUAAAUUUUAAUGUUUUCCUUCUCCAUGUGGGUUUCGUUUGUUGGUUUUAUUGAUGUUGGGGUUUCAAAGCAGCUAUAUUUUGGUUUGUAAUUUCACGUAUGCUUGGUAAUUUUCUUGAUUUGUACAGGGAUUUUUGGAGAAGGCACAAGAGGAAGGUCUAUAUUACACUUGGAGUUUUAGGAAGUGGAUAUUUCUUAUACAAGCUUUAUGAUGCUCAUAGGAGAAGGAUCUCUGAUCUGGAGAGAGAACUCGCUACUGAAAGGGAAAACGAUGAACUUGUUAAGGCCCAGUUAAGCAUCAAAUAACACAAAAUAUUGCAUGUUCUGUUUUAUUGUUGUAUUGCAAUGUUGCAAAGAAUAAGUUUGACAAAAUCCUGCUCAAAAAAGAAAAAAUAAGUUUAACGAAAUCUUUUUUUUAUGGGAAUUUUAUUUGAUGGACAGAAUGCAAGAACACUUCGAGAAUGUACAAAGGAUUGCUGAUUCGACAACAUUGCCGCAUGUGAUGCAAUACUUAAGUACUCGGGUAGCUGAAGAGUUAGACCUUGCUCCCUUGACUGAGAGGUUAAUGCGAGGGAAAGGUCAACCAAACACACUAACAGCUGCAGAGAAACUUGAGCUGUGGGAUAGACUCAAAAUACUAAGUAAGAGUUGCAGUGUCUUUUUCUCUCCUGUUGAGAUGCAGCUUGCAUUUUGUUUUGCCAUGGAACGGUAAAGCAUUGUACUUGGCUGAAAUUUGAGUCUCUGUCAUUUUCCAGGUUUUACGAGAAUGGUCUUGUCUGUUUGGGCAAUGACAACUCUAAACUUAUUUAUUAGAGUUCAAGUCAAUAUACUAGGGAGGCAUCUCUAUAUUGACACUGCCCGUGGACUUGGGAAUUCUCAUCUACUUGUAAGUACUUCUUUUCCAGUGUAAGAAAAUUUGUAUGUAGAAAAUGUUGAUUCACUUUGUAAAAUUUUUUGAGUUUCGGUUCUCAAAUCUGAAAAAAUCUAGCCAAUAGAUGAAUGCGAUUUUAGAAUAAUGGGAGGAUUAAAUACUAUGUAAAAAGAUAGUUGUUGAUAUUCUAAUAAACUGGAUCAGUUAUGCCAUUGAUUGCUAACUGUGGAGGAGGGGUUCAGACUUGUGCUCUGUGUUGAUCCUUUUGUGUCUCAUGAAGACUCGCGUUUCAAAACUUUGUGGUGAUCCAUUCCUUUCCAAUGGUUUCCUUUACUCCAUUAACCACAUAUCUUUUUGUGCUUGUUUAUAAAAGAUCUUGUUACACUCAAUAGUUGAAGGUCAUUAAUUACCAGUUCCUCUAUGUACUUUUCUUUUUCUUGUUAAUGAAUCUCUUUGCUCCAGACUUGCAAUUCUUAAGUGUAAAUCACAGUAGCUUUGACAUGUUCUCAAAGAAGAUAGAAAAUAUGAAAGUACUCUUAUACUCUCUUUACUAAUUACUACAUACUUGGCCAAAUUUGACCAAAAUUUUGGCUGAACUUUAGAAAUGUGAAGUUCACCGAUAACAGGUAGUGAUCUUUUUGAAAGGCACGGUAUACAGAAAUGGCAUAUCAUUUCAUUUUUUGAAGUCAUGUAAUGUAGUGUAAUCAAUCAAAACCUCCCCUUUGACCAUAAGGAGAACAACCACAGCGAGUGGCUGAUGGGUCCAUCAUAAUUCACUCAAAAACUCCGCCCAUCUGAUUCUCUUACCUAAACCAACCUACCUCCUUCUCUGCCGUGCCUUCCGCCUUAUCAUGCAACCUACAUGUGGAUCCCUGCCUGCUCAUCAUAAAAUUAUUUAAAUCUCUUCCACCAUUAUCAAAUUUAUUUACAUUCAACAUAGGAUAGUGACACCACACCCUAACUUGUAAAUUAAAUGUUCAUUUUUUUUGUACAUGGGUACAAAUGGAUAUAAAAAAAAAAUUAAGAAUGCCCAUACGUAUAAACCAUUCACUGAAAAUGAAAGCGUUUAGAUGGCUUGACUAGGUACUCUCCUUCUGUUAUGUCAUGUGGAACCAUCCAACCAAGUUGACUUAGCAGCUUCAAAACUUCAAUAUUUUGUUCCCCCUCAUAUAGUGGAAGAAUCACCAUGUGUUAGCGUCCUGAAAUUUAACCGUCUUUUACAUGACUCCCAUACCAUAGCAUCUCUUUCUAUCAUGGAUUUGUUUUAUAUGUUUCCUGAAGUGAAGAAUGCAAAAUCGAAUAAAUUGGAGAGGAAUUGGACUCUGCAGGUCAUCAGGGACCAGCAAUCCUGGCCCACAACUUUUGCUUUUUGUGGAAAUUAUCACAGAACACUGUAAUUUAUCCAUUCUUUCAUGAAAACAUACAAAAUUGAAGCCCAUACUAAACGACCAUAUGAAUUUGUCAAAAAAUAUUACAAAAUUGUCAAAUCUAGGACAUGUGAAGAAUGUUAGAAACUGAAAGUCAUCGGAUGCCCAUAACGACCUUGUAUUUUCAUUUCCUUCUUACUGCCUUUUCCCUUUUCCUAUCAUAAUUGAUCAAGUUAGUUAGCAUGACUCAACCAAUUAUAAUUGACUGAGGUACCUUAUUUAGUAGUAUGUAUUUUAGUAAAUGCUUUUGCCGAUUUUAGUUGAUAUUUAACAAAAAGAUUUUUUUUUCCUUUUUAUAACUAAAAACUGAUGUGAUUGGGGAAAUUUGGUGUUGGGAAGAUGAGGGGACAAAUGAAUAGUCCAAAAAGACAUGCAGAAAAGGAACCUGGUUUCGUACCUCUUUACGUUUCUUUUGGUAGGCAAAUCCCACCGACACUGCAGAUCCUGUCAGAAUUUCUUUUUGGGUGUUACCUUUUUGACAAACUGGUGCUUAACAUAAUCCAUAACAGGAUUUAUUGUCAUUUGUCAGGAUGUGGACUGUAAAACUUUAGCAUUGCUGUUCUCAUAUAUUGUUAGUGAGUUUCAUGAAUGAAUGGCUAUAUUUUUAACCUGGAGGUGGGAUAAAUUUAUUACACUAUGCUCUUGCUUAUGUUAAUCCCAUGAUGAACUUAAGACUAACCUGACUCCACGGGGUUUGAUUAGCAGAGGCUGUACUACUUAUUCAUUUGUAUUCCCGCAGGGGAGGGUGGGGGGAGGGAUGUAACGUAAUACAAACACACUAUCACCGCCAAUGUUAGCAAGUUUUUUUGUGUUCAAGUUAAUAAGUUGUAUCAAGUACAAGAAAUUGGUGGUUAGCUUUUGAAAGCAUUUGAGCUUGCAUUUUGUCAUAAAGCAUAGAGUUUUACACUUUCUGUGUCUAAUUUUUAGUGGCUCUGUGCAUUGACAUACUUUGCUUUCAGUGACGUGACAUUUCUGAUACAAUUUUACCAGUUGUCUGCCAGCCACCUUGUAGUCAUUACUGCCUAGUGAUUGAGAUUGAGUACUCUUCUAAUAGCUAACAUCUGUAGCAUUAUAUUAGUUACUUAGAAAUGACAGUUGUGGCUCUUGUUAGACUCUGGUUUUAAUCACAUUCUAUUAUGGGAAUUGAGUUCCUCUGGAAAAUGGUGGGGUUGACACUCUUUGGGAUCUCUUGCGUGCUAUUACUAUGAGUAAGAUUGGUGUGUGUCCUGAAACUUAAAUGGCAUUGAUGUAAUUAAAGAGCAUCCGGGUCAAAUGAGCUCCUUGUAUGGUCUCAAGCAUCUAGGGACUUGUUAACCAAAUUGAGGUUGUUCAAUUUUCUUCCUGGCAUGGGCUUCAUGCUCAUUGGAGCUUCUUUUUCUUUUUCCAGGACGAAGCUGAUCUCAUAGAUAGAAACGAUGAGCAACGGUUUCUAGCCAUUGCAGAUUUCCUUUCCAAUUAUGAAAUACCAACAUUGAUUGCCAGCAUUGAGGCAGCCACUUCUGAAGUGCUCAAGGGGUAAGACAUAUCCUACUAUUUGUUGUCUAACAUGUGUUUCAACCUUGACUGCAGUACUGCUUCUAGGAUUAGAUUAAGAAAACCAAUGCUGAUGCCAGUCAACCAGAUUCUGCUUACUACUGUUGUCUGUCACUUGUGCACGUGCAAAAAUCAGAGAGAGGAGUGUUUGAUGCUACUAGAUUUCCAUUUGGACUAAGUGGGCUACUUGAGGUCACAUUGCCCAAAUGCAAUUAAUGAAUAGACUGGUAUUUUGUGCUAUACUGUGGUAAAGGAGAAAAGUACUUUAACCAGUUUAUCUGACUUGUUUGUGUUUAAUAUUCUAUGUUGCAUCCUUUACCUUCUUCAUGUAUUCAUCCUUUAAUAGUUUACCUUUGAUCCUGUAGACAUGAAAAACAAUGUAUUGCUCGCCAUAAUAAACCAGAAUAAAAACGUGAAAUAUGGUUUUGCAUGCUGAGUUUCCUAUAGAGCUUCUGGAGACCCUGGUUAAAGUUCUUGAUUACCACAAUGGCCUCUAACAUGCCAUAAAUGUAGGACCUUUGAGUAACAAAAAAGAUCUGUCACAGUCAAGUUUUCUCCUGGUAACUCUUACGCAUAAGAUAACCAUUUUUGCAGCUUUGCUCAUUUUGCAGCUUUGCUAUUAAGAUUUUAGGAUUUUUAUUUACUAAGUGUUAUAUUCUCUGAAGUUACAGGCAUCUUUGAUUGACUAAUUGGCUUAUUACUUGCAGAAAACAGUUGAAGGAUUACUUCAACAGUUCUGUACUACGUGAAACUAUUGUGCAGAUAUUGGACACAUUCAUGAGCAUGGGAAAUCCUCGUCAGUGGUUAGGCUACUUGAUUCCGGAGGACAAUAGGAUAUACAAAUUGGUUGAACCCUCUGGAAGUGGGAAUGAAGUUCAUUCGCAUGCUAGCAAGUUCGAACAACUUACAGAGGAGACACGUGCAGUGUUAUCAAGGUUGAUCAUUCUCUUCAUUAUAUAACAAUUUAUUAAGUACUAAUAGAAGUAAGAAAGGACAUCAUCUCAUCUCUGGUUACUGAAAAUUCAAUCAAGGCAUAUUGCAGUUGAUAAACAUCUGUCAAUCCAACUGAAUUUACCAUUUGCAUGGCCAUGAGUUUGUUCCUCAAAGCUACAGCCACCCCAUUAUGAGCGUUACUAAAUAACUCCAUGUCUUGUAUUGUUUGUCAAAUUUGAUGAAGUCUGUUAGUGCGAAUAAACUUUGCCUUCUAACUUGGAUUGUGCGAUUCCUCAUUUAUUUUGCGGUGUUCUUGUUCUUAGUGCUGAAUUUGGGAAUAUUCUUGACAUCUCAUUGAAAGUUGCGGUGGAUGCAAUCGCUGAGGAAAUAGAUAUCCAGUCAGCAAUCCCUCUAGCGAAACUUCUGCCUCGAAUAGCUCAGAUGGGCCAGAUUCUGCUGGAGGAACCAAAUAGGCAAAGGUAUAUCCAGAUCAUCCGAAACACACCAGAAGUUGAGCUAUUUUUCACAGUCCUAUACUCAAGCAUGCCGUCUUGAUAGUAGUGUAGCUCAUUGAUAUGCAAUUCUUGAACUUUUUCUGCUUCAAAACAGAGCAAUAGUGUAAUUGUAUGUUAGAGAAGGUGCAUGGUUCUCUAGAGUCGAGAACUUCUGAACAAAAUAACAAGAGAGGUGGAGAUAAUGGGCAUUUGUUAGAUUUUGCUCCAGUUGUAUUUUGUCAUUGUUAUAGUAGCUGCCCAAGUAUUGUGGGGUAUUGAUGAUAGUUGUUGUGUCAGGAAAAAAGAAGGGCUUGGUAAAUCAUUUGUUUUUUUUCAUUACUAACGAAGAGAUUGUCGAAUUUCACUUCGUGCUGGCUAAUUCAAUCUAUAGGUGAAUUUGGUGUAAACUUGUGCAAUUACUGACAGGUUAACGAGAAGUUACCUCAUUCAUCAAUCAGUACCUGAAAAAUUUUUACUCUUUUUACAAUAUAUAUGUAAAAUACUUGCCCUGUUUAUAUUUCAAAAUUUUGUGGGAAGUUUUCAAAUCACUGUGGAAAUGAUUAGAGAUAGAUAAUCAUGGUUUCCUGCAAAGAAACGCUUUCGUUUCCUGAUACUAUCAUAUCAUGAAGUCAUGCAAAUGAAUGUAGCUUAAAUUCUUGAAAAUGCAAGGAACCUAAAAAAGCAAAAGAACUAUUAUUUUGUGAGCCUGGAAACGUAAUUUACAGUCCAGUGUUGUAUCAGCUGAAUUCUAGCUGAAGAACACGAUUACGUUAAACAAAAAAGAUCACUGUUUUCUCAAGCAGAUUACUAGUUCUAAAUUCUACCAAGAGAGAAUAUGGGCAUAUAAGCAAAUGAUUCCAAUAACAGUCUGUGUUGAACAAGAUGGCCAUGUCGAACGACAAGAGAUAUUGCUGAUUAUCCCAAUAAAUCAGCAUGCAUCAGUUGACCAACAAGCAUAUGCAUAUAACGCAACUUAUAAGAAAACAAGCUUUUUCAUGUUUAUUAAUCUGGAUCCUCUAGGGAUCAGAAAGGGUGAAGGAAACCCUUCAGUCCAAGACAAGACAGCAAGAAUCGACCCCGGCUCCUGCAUCAUUGGAUCAGAAACACAUCCAUCAAAAUCUUGCAUGCUUCCAUGCCUCCAACGUUAAUCACUGAAUCGAUGUGCUCAUGAGCCAACGAGUCAGCAGCAGAGGUCGAUCUCCAACCCCAACCAUCUUGGUUGGACGGAUGGAGUUUCCUCCGCCCACACUACUAGUGUUUAGUCCUCUCUAUCCUCAACGAAACAUUAAGGUUAGGAAGCUAAUGGAUGAGAUUAAGCUGUACUAACUGCAAAGGAUUGUACAAUGAAUGCGGAAGUUUGAGGCACACGGGAUUCGCUUAUAAACAUGUAAAAGUCAAUAAGCGCCCCUUGUUUCUCGCAUGAUUUCAAGGAAAAACUUCUGUGCCUUUUCCUUUACAUUUCAACAUUUGCUGUGGCGUCUUAUCAUGGCUUUCCUAGCUAACAGGUCAUAUAAACUACAUAUUCCUUUUUUUGUUUAUUUUGCUUUUCUCUUGCUUUUUCUCGUGGUUGGUCCGGUUUUAGGUGUUGAUGACCACGGAUCCAUCACAGAAUUGCUGCUCUUGUUGUCAUGAUCACUACGUGUUUUAUCCAAAACAUUCAAAGCUGGUUGGCUUCUGGGGGCCAUCUUCUAGUUGACGUUUUGAUUUGCUUUGUAUCCUAAAACCUUAAACUAUUGCAGGAUUUGACUCAUGAGUGAAGGGCCAACAAAUUGCCACAACCAACAUGCCUAUAUUUUACUGAUGCAAACCUAAAAUGUGCUUUUGAGCUGGUUGCUUAAUGGUUGAAUGCCUGUAUAUUCAGAAUAUGUUUCAAAAGCUGAUUUAAAAAUAUAUAUGCCUUUGAUCUUUAAACAUCAACAUCUGCAGAUUCCUGGUCCGAUCUUUAAGAUGACAAAGUCAUGUGAUAUGGCGGUAAUUGACCAAAUGGGAAGACAAGGUUCAGUUCUGCAGGAAAAACCACUGAUGGAUGAGGGAAAAAUGCAAGACAUUGAUACCUUGAACCUGCCUCGUAAACAUAUAUUCUAUCUCAAAAGGCCAAAAAGAUAAAAGUGUCGAGCUAGCUGGCAUUUUUCCAGCAAUUUUAAUGAGCUAUCUGGCUGUCUAGGGAAAUUCUUCUACCCAAAUCCUGAAUCUAGAAGAUUAACAGGAAACUAACUUAUUGCUGUUACAAUUCUUUCUUCCUUCCUUCCUUGUCUUUGGUUGAUGAUUUGGGAUGAUUUUGACCACAUAUUACUCCAGGUUCAUGCAAAACAACGUACAUGAAGAGAUUGUUUAAAAUCCUACCACUUAUAUUAUACCUCUUUCCCUUAUCCUUCUUUUCACCAAUACAUACUAUACUAGGAAAGGCUAGACCAACUACAAGAACAUUAGCUCAUAUAAGGUGUUGCUAUCCAUUUGAAAAAAGCCAAGAUCCAAGAAAGUUGAUUUAUUAUAUCUUGGUCAUUAUUAUUCUCAAACAAAAUCAUUGGUAAGGCUUAUGUUUCGUGUCUUGCUGUUUUGUUUGUGGAAUUUGACAAACAAAAAACAAAAAAUGGUGUUUGUUAAAAUUGUUCGUGUUUUUCAAUAAAGAAAAACAUUUAUGAACAUGAGAUUUACAUUUAAGACACCAAAUUGUUGUUUUUAACUAUUUAAUGAGAAAUCAAGAUUGUCAAUUGUUGAUUUAUCUUCACUCAACUAUUAUUUAUUAUCCCACAUUAUCUCACUUCAUUCUAAUUGACAACUAUCACCUAAUGAAAAUCUAGUUGUUAGCCGAACUCAACACAUACAAAGCUCACACAAUUAUUUGUAGGAUUUUAAAAUGUGUAUAUAUAAUAAUAAGUAAAAGAUACAUUAUUUAAUUAAGAAAAUAUUGCUUAAAGAUAAAUAUUAGAAGGCUAUACUUGCAAUAUUAGAUCAUUAGAUGGCUUAAUGAAAAAACUAAUGGGGCCUCAAUUAAUAAUAUAUCCAAAAAAAUGGGGAGGUAAAUAUAAUUUUAAGUUAAUAUACUUUGCCGCCCCGCAUCCAAACGGCAGCAUAUCUUUAGACACUGAGAAGGUUGGGGUUUUAGAGAAGCAAUGGCGACACAGACGGCGAACGCAGCAAACGGCGACAUUUUAAUGCUGGAGGCGCCACCUUCGCAGCGCCCGGCUUGGUCUACCGGUGCCGAAGUCAUCGAUGCUCUUCCCUACAUCGACGACGACUACGGCAACCCCAGGGUAAAAGCGGAGGUGGACCGUUUAGUGGAUGAAGAAAUGCGUCGCAGCUCCAAAAAACCCUCCGAUUUCCUCAAAGACCUCCCUCCCCUUCCCAAAUUAAAUUUCGAGGUCCGAACUUGACACUGAUUUAGUCUCCUUCUCCACAUGUAUGAUGUAUUAUCGCUCAAUUCUUUUUUUUUUUCUGAAUAUAAUUGGUGUUUUUGGAUACCUUUAGUGGAACUUGCUAGGGCUUAAUAAGAGGGUUUAUGUAUUAGCUAAAUUUGGAGGAAUUUUUUUUUUUUUUUUGCUUUUUUAGAUUUGUAAAUGGGUGUCAGAAAGAAAAUGCAUUGACAAAUGGUAAAGAUGGAAAGAAAGUUUAGGGUUUGUUUGAAGCUGGAUUUGUAAAUAUUUUGUUUUGUUGGUUUUGAAGGCAAAUGAAUAAGAAAUUGACUUGUUACGAAAGAUGAGGAAAUAUUGCUUGAGGCUAAGCUUGAAUUAUCCAUGCCGGUGGCCGAGUUAGCAUUUCUUGCCCCUUACCACAAGGGGCAAAUGAGGAAAAAAAUACAAUUUAUCUUGCUCUCCAUUGAAAAUUGUGCAUUCUUUAGCAUUCUUUAGCGUGUGUUAUUGGUUUAAUUACCUUGUGUAAGUGUUCAAUUUUGUCCAUGUUGGGCUCCAUUUUUCAGGAUCAUCCAAUGCUUGCAAGGGAAUACGAAAGGGUUAGAGCAGGGAAGCCCCCGGUCCAAAUGGACACGUCAAGAUAUGGACUUGAAAUUCCGCCAGCGAACAAACGGAAUGAUGAAACUGCAUGGAAGCAAGCACUUCAAAAAGCUCAACGCUUACUGCAGCAUCAAGUUAUUAGGUAUGUUCUUUAUACUCGUACUCGCAAAAUGAUAUUGCUUUUCUUUUAUUGGACAAAAGUUUGAGUUUCGUCGGGAAUAAAGAAAAAAUGGGCAGAAGGGGGAAUCCGUAAACUAAGAAGAUCUGUGCAUUUCAACUGAGACGAGGUGGAUCUGGCUUCGGUUUAUUUUGCGGUAACUAUUAGCAGGCAAACAUUCAAAAGUCCAACUUUUACGCUUAAGUUUUCAGUGAUCUCAAUGAGCUUUGAAGAUAUUCUCUUUCCAUUUUUUGUACGAAGUAAAUAACAUGCUAAACUAUUUACCACCAAAUAAAGGAACAACUUUGUAAAUCUUUUUUGUUGGGAAUUUGAAAUUGGUAGACUACCAAGGUUGCAAUGUUAGUAACCCCAAUACAAAAUGAUAAAAGAAAAAAAAAAAAAGGCAAACAGUUGUGCCCUUGAUGCAUCACUUAUUCUGUAUCACCUUGUCUUUAUUGAACAUUUUCCUUCUGUGGCUUUGGUUGGUAACUAACUUGUUUCUCCUUUUAGUUGUUUAGCAUCCAACAUUUAAUUGUAGUUAUUGGGUGGAAUGGUUUGCUUUUUCAUUAGAUUAUCAUAAUAAAUAGAAGUUCAGCUUUAUAGCCAUACCUCUCAUUUCUUUUUUCCUUUGCUACCACAUCUUAAAGUUUAUUUUCUUCCUGCAAAAUUUUGUGUUGAUGUGCUUAUCAAUGUUUACUGUUGUAGGCUAGAAAAUUUAGAACAAAUGUCGAUGCACGGUCCAGAGGUGUGGAAGAUAUACAAUAAAAAAUUGGAGGCAUUGGUAUCCAGGUUUUGUUUUAUCAAAUGCAUUUCCUUCUUUAAGUUUCAACAUAGUUCUACCUAAUUGUCCUUGCUUGGAGAGAGAGAGACAGAUAUUUGCAUUAUAAAUAUGUUUUUUUUUCCAGUGCUAAAACAUUGUCUAAAGCUUUACCUAGAAUAUUAACUUUUUCGGAUAGUUUGCAGUGCCUUAUAUUUAUAGAAAUGCAUAGUAGUAUUAAAGUAAAAGAACGAAAUCUAAUUGAGUUUGACAAAAAGCCUUCUCCAUAUUAUAGGAUGUUAUCUAAAUGUUCUUGCCUCUUAUCAUGUUAUCAUAGACAUAGAUGACAAAGUGCAUGAAGGACUAAUGCUAAAUUAUUUAUCUUAACUCCUCCACAAGCCCCCAUAACUGUUGAUUGCACAUGAAUCAAUAAGCUGGUUAUAGAAAAUAAUUAAUUAGAUAUUUCUAAGAGUGGGUUGAAAGAGUUCUUGAAUGUAUGACUUUUUGAUAAUUCAGUCUUUGUUAUAUGCCUUAUAUAUUUAAUCAAAUUGCACAGCUUGAUUGUCUUUGUAAUACAAAAGACGGAAGUAACAAAUCUGAACGUGUUCAAUGAUGUGUAAACUGCAUCUGUUUGGUGAGGUUGUUUUGUGGCCAAAUAGCAAGGUAUGGGAACAUCGGAAAUAUGGCAUUCUGAUGCAAGUUUAUAUUGCUUUGGGCUCUCCCACUUCAACAUCUAGCUUUUGAGGCUUCUCUCCAUAAUUGCAUCAUCUUAGAAGGCCAUAAGAUUCUGGUCACUUGUAAAUCAAGUUUCGUUGACACUGGCGUUCCUACACUUAAAAAAAUAAUCAGUUACAGUAUGCAUUGUAUAGAAUUAUGCCUAAUCAAUGAGACAGUUCCUAGUAUUCUAUGGACUGUUAUAUGUCGCCUCAUUUCAGUCUUCAGUUACUUCAUCUUCAGUUUAAGUUCUAUUUGGUUCAUUCUUUUAAUGUUUUUAGUAGAGGGAGCAAUAUGCUCAAGUACUUGAAUUAUUUUUUCAGGGCUCAAUUACAAGCUGUGGAACUGAAUGAAAAGAUUGAAACUGUAAACCGUGAAAGAAAAUAUCAUCAGGUCAGAGAACGUACCUUAUUGUCAAUUUAUAUUCCCAAGUUGGCAGACUCAAUGAUCACUAGGUAGUUAUGUUCCUUCUGUCAUUUAUCAGCAAAACACAGCUUAUGAACUUAACGCUUUAUCUUCACAAUGGAGGGAGCUUUGCUUUAAAAAUAUAGAAAUUCAAGCUGCACGUGCUGAAAUUGAAAAUCAACUUGAAGUGAUGAAGAAGGAAGCUGUGGAGAGGUGAUAUCUGAUAAUGCUACUUCUGAUUUGCAUUCUUCUAUGAACCUUUUUCCCAGUUUCUUAGCUGAUAUAUUUUUUUUUUCUUUUCAUUCAGGGGCUUGAAUUUGGAUGCUAGCAUGGAGAAUGGCUUUAUUACACAUGUAGAAUAAGGUAUGACCCGUAGUCUUGCACUAAGGUGAAAAUAAAGGAAUAGACCAAACAACAUAUCUGGAAAAUUUGAUAGGAGGUAUAAAUCAUUCAGAUAAAUAUAGUUGAACCAGAGGAGGAAAAGCAAAGAGUGUAAGACUGGAAGGAAACUUUUUGAUGCGUAUUCAGUGAUUGAUAGUGCUAUUAUAUGUAAACGAGAAAGAUAAGGUACUCAUGAAGAUCUAUCAUGGUUUUUGCCUUCUUUCAGGUUUUGGGAUGAUUGUUAUUCAAAGGGGCAUGGAAUGUUUUGAUGUCCAGGGCAGUGCUGGAUGUCAUUGCUGUUCUACAUAGAGCACUAGGAGCUGCAAGCCAUCUAGCACAUAUGUGCGAAGGCUCUUCAUGCUGCGCCAUGAAUUUAAUUGAGUUAAUUGUAUCCUUAGCAACUUGUUUCUUGUACAAUUGACUGAGCCCCCGACCUCUCCUUAUGGUAGCCGACAUUCGUAUGCCCCAAUUAGACAUACUACCAGUGAGGUUGGUGGGAAGCUGGUCUGGUGAGAGACUCAGAGGAGUGAAUGCGAUCUGUUCUAUCUUAUUAAUAAUAAUAAUAAUAAUAAAAAGGGUAUCUGUUCUCGGUUUUCCUUAAGGGGCAAAUUUUACGUUUUCAGUAACUUGUUCCUGAGGUCCAUAAUUAAAAUGCCAAGCUUACCUAGCAACGAUACAAUCGAACUUUAGAAGCAAUAUAAAUCUUCCUUAAGAACUUUCAGAUUUGUCGCUAACCAUUGCGAGCCUGUGGUGAUCUUCAGUUUUAUUUGCAAAGCCUUGUUCAAUAUAUUUUUUCAAAUGAAAGAAAAUUAAAUUAGAUCCUGAAAAGUGAUUUUAUUGAACCACAAUGUGAUGUAGAUAUUAUCAGAAUGUCAUAAAUUUGAAGUAGGGUAGUGCAGAUGAAUAUGUUUUACUCCACAGUCAACAUCACUUUUUUGUUUCUGACUAUUAAUUUUCCUUAGCGGCAGGUAAGAAGAAAAGAAACCUUUCCCUUCAAAGGAGAGAGGGCACAGAAGUCGUAAUAAAUUUGAAAAUGUUUUGGAUAUUUCAUUAUUUCAAAUAAUAUUUCGUUUGUAUCAUAAAUACAUUUUUCAAUUAAUCUUUUCAUAUUUCCAACGAAUCUCAUAUACAUUAUAUCAUAAAAAGUACUACAAUAAUCAUUUCAAAUAAUACUCUGUCCAAAUAAAUUAUUAUUAUAUUCAAACAGUAAAUGGUUCUUUUUGUGGUAUGAGUUGAAAAUCAAGUGAAGCCGCACAGCUUUCAUUUACUCCAAACACUUGCACAACGAAUCAUUAAAAGUAGAGUUUAGCUCCCUAAUGUCCUUUUCAUUAAAAAUUUCAACCAUUAGCUGGAUCCCUCAUUUGUCGUGAGCCCUAUUUGGCAAAUCCAUUUUUGUUAAGUAGUAGCUAUUUUAACAUCCCAACGAACCACAAAAAUGUCCUACUAGCAAAAAGUUACACUCCAUUACCACGAAUUCUUACUCAGCACAAAUAGUUCCAAAUUGCAUUUAGAGAGAUGAUAGUAGUAUUGUUGAGGUUUAGAUUUAAUCCGGAUAAAAUCUAAAUUCAACAAAACAUUUGGUUAACGAUUUAGACCUACUUGUGACUACAAUUAUGUGGUAAAAAUGUAAUUAUUAGAGUUAAUUUUUUUUUUGGGUCAUAAUUCUAUAAACACGAUAAACUUCUCAGAAAUGUGCUGUACAACUUUUGGAAAUAUAUCACCUGGCAAAAGUUGACAAGCCUCAAACUAAAUUGAAUGGAUUACCAACGGAACCCCCUUGUUCCUCCAGCAUACAGAUAGGUGAUACAAAUCAUCUUCCAGUAUUGAUAGGUACUAAGUGUGUUUUUUCAUUGGGCAGGGUUACGAUUGUUCAAUUCAUGGAAAUUGAGAAAAUAUAAGCCUGUAAUAUACUAAUCCCAAGUCCCACACCGGAUCUGACAACUUCCGUCCAUAAAGACUCGGUUGACUUUGACAAACUCUAAACAGGCAAUUAGGUUUUGCGUUCAUGAAGAUUAAAAUCAGGAAACAAGUGCGUCAUUUGUGGCUAUUCUGAAUGAGAAAUAUAUACUAUCUUUGUCCAUUCUUUUAUAGAAACCAUAGCAGCAAAUAGACCGGAAAAGAAGGAAAAAGAGAAGAUUUGCAACUAGAAAAUGAAUACAUGAUGGAGUCCACGAGUUACAACCUUCGCAUGCAGAAUAUACAACAGAGUGGGCUUCAAGCACGACGCAACCCUCUCCUCCGGAAGCCAUUAGGGUUUUCAGACAAAUUAUCAGCGCUUCGAGGAUUGCUUUUUCUGGCAUUUUCCAUGUAAAGUAGGGUUUUCCUCCUUGCCCUCACAGUUUGAAGAUUGAGAGCAAAGAGCUUUUAGCAUUUUCUGGUUUCUGCUCUUCUUUUUCAUUUCUUUAACUUGACUAGUGGCACGCAGAACUAGCCAAUAUAUAUGCUUAAGAAGGUGUAUAGGUUUCUCUCUCGAGAACAAGAGAGAACCCUUUUAAGAACUAGCAAGUAUAAAUGCUUUUAGGCAAGAUAAGACAGUCGAAUCUUGAAGAAACCACACAGAAAUUCGGUAGAGCAAGAGUAUAGAGACUCUCUUGACAAAAAAAUAAAAAAAAAAAGAGUAACAGAGACUCUCACACAAGUUGUUUGUCGUGUAAAUCCAACUUCAACCAGGAUAAUGGUAAGAACAUAAAUGCACCCGUAAAGAAAAUUGAAAUCGUACAAAGUAUUCAUUAUUCAGUUAAUCUUACUCUAAUUUCCGCCCAUUGGGCCUGAUUAGAAAUGCAGUAGCAUUAAUGUUUCAGGAAAAAGGGCAAAAAAAAAGAACUAUUACAAAAACCAAUUGUGUAGCUACAAUAACAGUUGCUAUAUUCUACAACGUUCCUUUCUCGGGGAAAAGCCUCUGAUCCAUCUACAGAGACAGAGGGCAAUAGAUUCGCUGGAUCCCUGGGGAAAGCCACAAGUUAAGAAACAGCAAGAAAAACAGCAAAAGUUAAAUUCAGUGACAGAAACACUUGACCCUCUAUGAGACCAGAAAUAGCAAAGGCAAAUUAGAACACUAUGAAAU
rnacentral:lncRNA from 1 species